rnacentral:lncRNA from 1 species
CCCAACUUAAAGGAUGUCAGGAUAAGGAAUUGUGAUGGUAUUGAAGAAGUUGUUUCAAAAAGAGAUAUUAAUGAUGAAAAUGAAGAAAUAAUAUCUUCUACUCACACAAACACCUUCUCCUCCUUCCCUCUUCUUGAUUCUCUCUACCUUUUUAAUCUGCCAAGCCUAAAGAGUAUCGAUGGCGGUACUACAAUCACAACUACUUCCAUCCAUGAUCAUUCCAGGUAUNAUUUCUCUUAACUAGUGGAUCCUUUACACAUUCAGUUAUUUGUUUUAUUUAUUUAUUUAUUUAUAAUAUUUUCUUCUCCAUUAGCUGCUUUAUAUAACUCAAUAAGCUAAUUCUUCUGAAUCUGGAAAGACAAAAUAACUAACUGAAUACCUAAUUUUUUUUACAGUUUAUUCGUUUGCAUAGGUCAUUAAAGUUAUUUCUCUUAAGCAUGGUUAUAAAUCAUAUGAAAUGCAUUUUUUUAUCCAGUUUCAGUUAAGUUAACUAAAACAGAUGGUGGAUUUAGAUCGGAUUGUGAGGGAGAGAAAAAAAUUGAUUGAUAAAUAUAUAUAAGUCAUAUCAACAUUACUCUUGAUUGUUAAGUAAUAUGAAAACUGGAACAAAAAUGGUUUUUUUUUUUUUUUUCCUAGCUUGCAAUUUUAGCUUAAUAAAGUUCAGUUUGUUGUUUAAAAGAAAUAUCUNUUUUUUUUUUUUUUUUUUUUUUUUUUUUUUUUUUUUUUUUUUAAAUCUUUCAAAAAAAAAUCUUUUUUUUUUCUGACAUGGAACUGAAAAAUAUCAAACUUUACCUAUAAGUAUAUCUAGUGUUCCGACUGAAAAUAUAUAAAUACAAUAUAUGGCAAAAGACUCCUGUUCACAACUUUUUUUUAAAAGUAUUAAAUUUAAGACAUUGAUCGAUCAUCGAGCCAAACGACAAGAUUGUCAGUUAUGGGAAGUCUCAAGAUCUUCAUUUAUCUAGUAUAAUUUCCCAAGUCUAUAUUGAAAAUGACUCCCUUGAAAAGAAAAUUUGUUUUAAAAAUGCUUUCUAUUAUGAAUAUUAGGAUCAAGAUAGAUUUUGCAAUAUACAAUCUAUUGAACAAUCAUAGAUGUAUAAUAAACGCACCUUUAUUUUCACUAUAGACACUGAUAUUGAUAAGAGUCAUUAUCUGUUUCUUGGAUUUGGCCUUGUCAAUAAUUCUAUAUUCACAAAUGCAAAAAUAUAAACUUUUUUGAGAAUUCUAUAUUCAUAAAUGCUAAAAUAUAAACUUUCUUUUCUAAAGAUCAGAUUAUCUAGACCAAAAUAUGUGGGUUUAGAUGUAGCACACACAUGAUGGAAGACUUGGAAUAAAUUAAUUAUUGAUAACGGCUGAUUAGAUGCUAACAUUCUCCAUAUUAAAUUUUUCUUCCUUUUGUCACUGUGUCCUAAAUUAACCCUUCAUGUUAGUAAAAUUAUUUAAAACAUGAAGAAGAUGAUGCAUGUAAUCAAUGCAGGUACGGAAAUAUAAGCAUAUUGAUUUCAAACUCAUUUCCUAAUAAUAAAUAAAUUUAGGAGUAAAGUUAUGUUUUCAUUUUCCCACAUUGAGGAGGUAAUGGGUUAUAGAGUCCAAUGCCUUUUAUUUUCUCUUGAUAAACCAUAUACAGAAAAACCACUAUAUUUUUAGUCAUUUUCUCUGUUCAACAUGCUUUUCUUUAUUUUAUUAUUACAUCAUCCUACUUUCAUUUAUUCCAGUUAUAGCAUUAUACUUUGAAAAAAUAUACCCAAUUAUAUGUGGCUACGACGGCCUGAUAAGAAAAGUCGAAAGUACAAUGCUAUAGCUGGGUGGAUUUUCAAAGUACCUUUAUGGUAGUCUUGGGUCAUUUAUUAAAGUCUAAAAUUAUAGAAAUAACAUUUUACUUUCACUGAUAUGAUUAUAAGAGCAUCUUACUUUCAUUUUUUCCUAUUAAAGCAUUGUAAUUUAAGUAACUCACCCAUUUAUUGCAAUUUCAUUCAAAUACAAAGGAUUUCCGUUACUGCAAUAUAAAGAAAUGAAAGUAGGAUGCUAUAAUAAACGAAUAAAUGGAAAUGCGUUGUUAUUUCUUUCAUUUAGACCUUCUUCAGUACAGAUAAGUAAAUUUCAUAGCUAUAAGUCUAGGUGAAAUAUUUGUAUAUUUUAUGGUUUAUAUCAUGCUUUCAUGUGUUUAUAUCUCAUAUUUAUUCUUUUUUUUAGUUUCAAAAAUGAGACUAACCAUUAUCAUGACCACCAUGUCCACUUCCAGUGUCAUACACUUUGCUUCUGGACGAGUAAUAUAUGUUGAUUAAUUGCUAAUCAAAGUACUUCAAGGUCUCUUCAUUUUCAAGUUUUAAUUCGAAUAAAUGCUAAUUAGUUGUGUUAAUUAGCACGUAGCAGUUUUAUUUUUCUUGUGUCAGUUUCCUAUUUGUAGGUUGUCAUAAUCUCUUCUAAGCCUAUAUAAUUAAGGCCACUUUUAUGAUUGAUUUAGUGUGCCUUUUCUUUCAUCCACCAUCUACUUGUUCUCUCCUGCCAACAAUAUAAGCAUAGCAUACAACUGAUUAGUUUCUUGUUUUUACUUAUUUUGUCUAUGUAUAACGAGGGUAUUUUGGUCAUUUGACAAACCUUCUUCCUCAAGGAGUCCAAACACCACGAUUUGGUUUCUCUUUAUUCCUAGACCUUUUAUCCAUUUUUUCUGUAUAUUGCCCUUUUGGAUUUCAACUUCCAUUGUCCACAUUGUUACUUAAUUACCUUAGUUGUGUGAAGCACUCACGAUUUUUUUUUUUUUUUUGGAAGAGACCGAAGUCUCGGCAAACUAAAGGGAAGCACUCAUGUUUGUAACCACACUUCUAGAAACAAAUGAUAUGUUAAAUUGUAGUGUGUAUGUGUGUAUCAAACAACUAAGCUUUGUUAAUUUAAAUAGAUCCAUUGAUUUUUCAUGUGUUGUUGUAGUGUUCUCAAGUCGGUGUUGCUUCUUGGUUCUUAUGCCAAUACUCCAAAAAGAUUUAUAUAGAGAACUGUCCUGCCCUAUCAAGAGUGUUUCCAUGGUAUGUAGUGGGACAACUGAAUAAGCUUGAAGAGUUGAGAAUAUCAAAAUGUAAGUCAAUGGUGGAGAUAUUUGAAAGUGAAAGAGUCAACAAUGAUGGUGUUGAUAGUACUACGAAUGUUGGUGAUGGAAGUGAUGAUACUUGUACUGCAAUCACCAUCCCAAGGUCGGCAAAUAUGACUCUGCUUCAAUUGCCCAACCUAACAAUAUUGGUCAUCAGUAAAUGUGAAGUUUUGGAAUAUAUUUUCACAAGUUCCACACUUGAAAGCCUCGAGCAAAUCAAAGAACUGAUUGUAAAACAAUGCAAGGCAAUGAAAGUGAUUGUGAAGGAUGACACAGAGCACACAGAAACAUCUAAAUCUAUAAUAGUCUUCCCACGUCUCAAGUCCCUUACACUUGUAGAUUUACCAGAUCUCAAGGGUUUCUUCUUGGGGAAGAAUGAGUUCAGGUGGCCAGUAUUGGAAAAGGUUAAGAUUUAUGGCUGCCCACAAAUGAUGAAUUUCACAUCUGGUCACUCCAUGACUCCGAAGCUCAACUACAUACAUACAGCCUACGGCAAGCAUAGUCUUGAAUGUGGCCUCAACUUACAUUUGACCAAUGCUACACAUGAGGAUGAGGUAUGUUAUCACUUUAUUUCAUCAUUUAACCAGGUGAUCAGCAUGUCGUUUUAUGAUGUUCAACAUAUUAUUUGCUUACAAAAAUUAGGUGGCAGGUUCAUAUUUUUAUUCCAGAAGGAAACAUAAAACAAAAAACCAAAUGAAGAUCCAUAUAUAACCACUUCCCUUUUUUAUAUCCAUAAAAAGUUUUGAAAAUAUGCAAUCUUAUUUUUUAUUAUAAAUUAAUAUUUCAUUCCUAAGAUAUUAAGUUAUCCCUUAUGUUAUGAAAGAUGUUAUAUUCACUAAUUCAUAAGUUAGCAAUUUAAUAUUUUAAUCAAGUUAGAUGAACUAAAGACAAAAGGCCCAAUUGACGCAUUCAUUGUGGGUGGUUUUUUCCAUGUCCAAAGAUUUUUGAACAUAUACAAUACUAGGUUCCGUUUGAUUAAUAUUAAAGAAAAUCUAAAAAAAGAAAUUAAAACAAUAAAUCAGUCUUUUCAAUUUUGAUACAAACCUAGUGAGAAGGACCAACUUUGUAAUUUUGGAACCACAGGGACCGUAACCGCAAAAAUCGACAAACGCAUGGACCAAAUUUGCAGUUUUUGCUAAAAAAAACAAACAAAUCUAACUAGUGGCUUGGAGGUUUGGAGUCUGGGCAAGUAUUCGACUAAAGGCAUAACAAAAUAAGCACCUAAGAAAAAGGGCUUCUAAAAUUCACAUAAUAGUUUCUUUCCUUGAAAACAGAAGAUUUAAGAAUUUAUAUCAAAUAUAUGAAUAUAAAAAAUUAUUUUCUUGUGUAUUACAAAUGAUACUUGGCAAGUUCAUUCUUAUUCAAAUCAUUUGAAAGUUUAUAAAUCAUUAAUUAGGAACUUAGAACCAACAACUUCAUUCGGUUAAGAAAAAAACACAAAAUAGAUGGAAAUAAAAGCAUUAGCUUAUUUUACAUAUUUUCACUCAUAUCUAUUAACAAAUAGAUUUUUGUAUGGAGCUAUAUUUUGUAAUUGAAUCAUUUAUAUCGUUUUCAUCCAGUUUAAUCCAAUUAUCUAACAUAUUUUAUAAUAAUGUGAUGUUAGUAGUUAAUCAAGUUGUUCUUUUCUCUCUCAUCUUCUACAAGCUUGAUAUUUAUGUAGCGUUUAUUACCUAAAUUUGACAAAAAUAGUAUUGCUGAGAUGAUUGUAAAAGUAUAAGUAUAUCAUCCAUAUAUCAUUUGUUGUAUUUGACAAUGCAAUAAAAAUACAAUAACAUAGUUAUCUUUUUUCCUAAAAAAGUUGGAUGUAAACAUUCAGUACAUGAAAAACUACCUAUUUGAAGUAGCCAAAACACUUGACUUUUACAGUUUUACUUUUUAUUUUAUCUGCCCACCCCACACACACACAAACACAAAUAUUUAAUUUUUUUACUUUUAUUUAAAAAGACUCAUCAUUGAUAAAAUCUAAAUUGUUUAAACAAAUCGACAUUCAUUAAUAAAAUCUAAAUUGUUUAAACAAAUGCAAUGUAUAAAUCAGAAUUUUUCUUCACAGUGCUCAUCUUCUCAGAAAAUAAUGUAAGCAGUGCCAUAAACUAGGUUGUUGAUUGGAAAUACAUGUUGCCUCGUUUAAAAAUAAUAGAACUUGCAAUCCUUUACUAUGUUUAUAUACUAAAUGUGUUUGUCCUUUAUAUAUAAUUGUAGUGUUUGAGAUGAUCUAUGUUUGAUUUUUCUUUGCAGACUCAACUCCCUAUGUGCUCUACUCCAGAUUUGAUAAAGCUAGUUCAAUUCCCGUGGUCUUUUUCAAAUUUAGUUGAAGUAGAUGCACAGUAUGGUGACAAAUUGUUGAAAAGCCGCAUAAUUUUUCCAUGCAAGGAGUUGCUUAAUCUGAAGAAUCUUGAAAAGCUUUCUAUUACCAAUGCCCUUGGAUCUGUAACACAGGAGGUAUUUGAAGUAGCAGAAGGGACAAAUGAAGAUGUGGAUAUUGAAACACAAUCUGUUGUGGUAUUUGAGAAGCUGAAAGAGGUGACUUUGGAUACAUUAAAUAAUCUGAAGCAUGUGUGGAGGAGCAAUCGGUGGAUAGUGUUGAACUUUCCAAACCUUACAAAGGUCUCAAUUGAAAGUUGUAAGCUUCUUGGGCACGUGUUCACUUGUUGCAUGGUUGGUAGUCUAUUGCAUCUCCAAGAGCUAAAAAUAAGUUACUGCCAGAGUAUGAAUGUGAUUGUGAAGCAAGUUGAAGAUUCCGAGACCAGACCGACUACUGAGGUUGUGUUCCCUUGUCUGAAAUCCAUAACACUUGAAUGGCUUCCAAAUCUCAAGGGAUUUUGCCUGGGGAAGGAGGCUUUUGAAUGGCCAUCAUUAGAUACUUUGGAAAUCAAAUAUUGUCCAAAAAUAACAGUUUUCACAAAGGGGCAAUCAACUACUCCGGAGCUGAAGUUAAUAGAUACAACUUUUGGAUUGUGUCAUGCAACGGAAGAUCCAAACUCUUUCAUAAAGACCAAACAAGAAGAGGUAUAUGGUGUCUCCUUUGGUUAUUAGUAACAGAUUAAUAUGUUUGAUCAAACAAAAACUUUACAUUACUCUCUAAUUUACCACUUUCUUGUAAUCUCCUACAGGGAUGGCAGUUCUAGAGGAACAUUUGAAUUCGCAUGUGCAGUUUUUCUCAUUUUGAAGUCAGCUAUAUAUAUACAAUAAUAGGUAAGAUUUAAUGCAUUUAAAAUUAAAAUUUUAGGCAUUUUUCUGUUUGAUUAUUGGUCAUGUGAAAUGGUUCUUUUCUCAGUAAUCUUUGGAUAUAUAAACAUACUGUUAAUUUCNUAUAUAUAUAUAUAUAUAUAUAUAUAGCAUAAUAGGUAAGAUUACAACAUUGUACCAUGGUUUAUGCCUUAGGAUUUCUUCUAGCACUCAUUUGUUUCCUGUGUCCAUCAUCAUUUAAGUGUUUCUCUACUUUAUUUGAUUGAACUGACUUAAUGACCAACUCUUCUGCUUCAAGGUUAUUGAAACCCUGUUCCUAAGUAAUCUCAUAAAUCCCUUUUGUUAAAAGAUUUAAUUCACAAGAAAUUGAUACUUUAGACUAAAGUCUUUAGUUAAUCUUAUAUUAAAUCUAUUCUUUGGAUUGAUCGGCGAGUGCAAAUCAAGAAUUCUAGACGAAAGACAUAUUCUUUUGUUCAAAGUUCGGCCUCUUUCAUGAGGGCAUUCUAUUUUGACUUUUUCACAGUAGUCAAACUUAAUGCUUUUAAAAUUCAAAUUAUAGGCAUUUUUCUGUUUGAUUAUUGGUCAUGUGAAAACUUUUUUUUUUUUUUUUUUUUUUUUUUUUUUUUUUUUAUAUAUAUUUCCAUGUGUAACCUUUUAUUUUUUUCAUGAUUUUGUUUUUCAGGCAUCUUCUGAUUUCAAACAGCCCCGCUGCCACCACAUGUCCCUGAGUACUCCCUGGAACUUGUGUCUUGUGGUGGCUGGCGGUUGUUUCUGGUGGUGGAUUUGGCCAGAGAAAUUUCCAUGUGUAACCUUUUUUUCCUUGUGUACAUACUUAAAGAAAAAUUACCUGUUUUCAAAAGAAAAACACAAACUGGGUUGCCUUCUUGAUGAAUUAUAUUUCGUCCUUCACUCACAACUUUACCCUGCAAAUAACAUAAACAUACUUUUCUUUACUAUAUUUUAGUCCCCUGUUUUAGGCUAAACUUAGCUUCAAUAUACUCUAUUUUAUACUUAACGCUAUGUUACCUGUUAGUUUUAAAAUAACAUUACAUUGUAGGCAUCACGAUGUGAAGUAAAACAAAAAGAUGAAAAGUUAGGAUGAAGUGAUAUUACUUGAGAUCAUCCUCUAGUAACAUCUGACUUUGUUUAUGUUUCAAAGAAUUAGUUUAUUUUAAAUUUUCAUCUUUUUACAAAACUUAACUUUACCCCAAUUAUAUACUUUAAUCCGUUGGAUUUCAAGGUUCUAUAUUUCAAGUUUAAGACAGGUUUACAAAAUCUUCUUUAAAGGCAGUGAAAAUCAUCAAUUUUCAUAACUUUCAUUUUUUUUUUAAUUACAAAACAAAACACAUUGUUAAAAAAUUCACUAAUAAUAUUAAAAAAACACAAAUAUGGCUACAAUAUUACAAAACAACUAAUUUAAAAAAAAAAAAAAAUACUUCUCUUGCUUUUUUAGAUACAAAAUCAUUAAAAAUACUAUCAAGAUCGAUUUAAUGUAAUAUAUUUUUCUCUCUACAUAAUAUUGUCAAACCAUUCAACAUUUUUUGCGACAUCGAUGACUUUAGUAACUCUUCAAUAACUUUGGUUUUGAAAAAAUUCAUUUUGCAAUGUAACAGUGACAUGAAUGGUUUAAUAAGAUGCUAUAUGCAAUAAAAAUAUUUCGAUAACAAUCAACAACUUUAACAAAGUCCAAAAUUUCAAUAGUGUACAUUAUAUUAUUUGGCAAAGUCAUUUGCAACACCUUUAAUUUUGAAAGUACAUAGCAAAUCCUAAUUUCUAGGUUUAAAAAUAUCUACAAAUGAUUUUUUGAUUUCUUCUGAAAAGUGUUCCUCAAGAAAAUCCAAUAUUUUCUUAUGAAAGUAGAGUAUUUACUGGUAGAGAAUAUGCCGUCAGUUUUAGAGAUACUAGUGUUAUCUUUAGAAAAUCCCAAGUUUUCCUGAAACAGGUUAUCCAUUCUAGAGGUAGAGAUGUAAGACUAGAGAUUCUUGAUUUCUGAUCAGUAUAAAUAUGAAAAUAGUUUUAUUAUUCAAAAUGAAACAUUUUCAAAGUAGAGUCUGUAAACUAAGUUAGCUUAUACUUAUUUGUGAGUCGUAUAACCAUACUUGAUACGACCUAGAGACCUUUAUAACGUUCUUAAGGCAUUAACGUUAAAUGACAUUUGUACACCCCAGACAUGCCUACCUAACUGUAGCUAGCAGUUCAGGUGCCGGAUUGUCAGUCCUGAAUAGAUCUAUCCACAAAUCUCACGCUCUCCCUCCAGGAGACUCUGGUUAUACUAGAAGGAUUUAUCCAUGUACACCUAAGGGUACAUUAAUGAAGUAGCGCCUCACAAUUCUAUAUAAUCCAGUUUACAAGCUAGAGACCAUAGAGAACAAGCUAGUGACCAUAGAAAACAGUAAUUAUCCUUAGAUAAUAUACUUUAUGCUUUUGAGAAAAUAUAUUACAUAACUAUAGUUGUCAUAGUUAUAAUACAUUUAUCCCUGAAAUCUGAUUCAGUAGAGACUGUCUAGAGAUUAUCCCAAACUAUACCCAUUAUAGUUUGUUAGAGUUGAUAUAGAAAACACUUGUUAAACCUUUCUGUGAUUAGUUAGAUUUCCAAAAUAAUAGUUUUCCCUUAUGCUCAACAUAGUACAAAAAGGGAUAAAAUCUGAGUAUGUUAUAAAAAAUUGGAAAUAAUUGGACUGGAUUAACAAGUUUAAAACUUGAUAAAAUACUUUAGAGUUAUGGCUUGUAUUCCCCCCUUGAAAACAUUAAAACACGGAAAAUAUAGGGGUAUAAACUCACCUGUAGUGAGUGACUUGAAUGAAAGAUCGAUAUAGGAUUGUAGAGUGUUAAGUGAAGUCUUUGGCACAAACGAAUCCUAUUAACCAUAUAAUGACACAUAUAUGUAUAUAAUUAGUGUAUAAACAAAUAAUCAUGAAAGGUAACACCCCUUGGGACUAGGAACACUUAUACUGAAGUGCUACAAUCACAUAUGAUUGCAUAAAAGGGGGUGUAUGACCACUAAAUGGGGUUUUCGGUCCAAGUGGUAUGAUUCUAAUAGUUUUCGGUCCAUAUGGUUUUUGGUUCAUAUGGAUUUCAAUCCAUAUGGUUCUCGGAUUCAUAUGAUUUUCGGCCCAUAUGGUUCUCGGUUUCAUAUGAUUUUCGGUCCAUAUGGUUCUCGGUCACGGGAGAUGCACUUGACCGAAAACACCAAUUGUUCCAAAAAAAAAAAACGGAUAUGUUCAAGCCCCUAAUUCGAUAUCCAAACUAAUAACAUGUAAAGGAUGCAAGGACUUACAAAUUUGAAGGCUAAGAAUAGAGGUUUUUGGCCCAAAACACUUUCGUGUUCUUGAAGAUCUAGUACAAAAGAUGGAAAUUUGUGGAUGGAUGCAAAGAUGAUUCAAGAAGAAGAAGUGAUGUAGCAACAUAUAUAUGGAAGGAUCUACUUACAUUUAUGAAGAUUGGAAGAAAACUUGAAGAUCCUUAGGAGAGAUGUAACGAUCGUCUUUCGAGGUAUAAAUUUAUUUAGAUUCUCAAGUUUUAUUUUGGGCUAUAAUAGAAUUGUAUAUGGGAUUGGGCCUCUUUGUUUUGGGUCGAGACAUAGUCUGCCCAUAAGCCGUACGCGGGGCGUAAACCCGUUGUAUGCUGGGUGUAAUGAUUAAAUGAAACGCGAGGAGGAAAAGCGUACGCGCAGCGUACCAUAUGGUACGCCCGGCGUACGCGGUCAGAGGAAAAACCCUAAUUUUAGGGGUUUAAGGCUAUAUAAACCCCAUUAUAGCCUCCUUCCCUGUUUUCCCAUCAGCCUCCUCACUCUCAAGAAAACCCUAAGUCGUUCUUAUCCUCUCUUUGUGUGUGAAGAAGCUUUUGUGAGUGAUUUAAGGAAAGGAAGUGGUGAAGAAGGAAGGGAAGAAGUUGGAGAAGAAGCUUGAGUUCAGGGAUCUGGAUUUAGCACCCUCUUGGUCAGCAAAGGAAGGUAUAAAGUUCUGAACUUUCUUCCUCUUUCCUUCUAGAUCUAGGUUAUGAAAGUUUGGACAUUUUUAAGUCCAAAGGUUGAGUCUUGAUCUUGAAAGUCGGUUUUGGAGCUUGGAUUGCCAUCCUUAAGGCUCAGAAACAUCUUCCUAUCAAUAAAGUUACAAUCUUUGUGGCUUAUAUGGAACCAUGCAUGAGAUCUAGUUAGCUCUGUGGAAGUAGAAUGUUAUUUAUGGAAGUUUGAGCCUUUAUGAGACUUGUAAGCCAUCAAGUAAGCAACUUUAUGGCUUAAGACGUGGAACAAGCUUAGGAUCUGGAUUUGUAGCUUCUGGAUCAGAUUAUUAAGCAUUUAAUGAGAUUUUGGCUUAACAGGGAUGUACGGUGGGCGUACAAGCCAGUAGCCAGUACGCUCAGCGUACCUUGGUGUACGCCCCGCGUACGCUGCCAGUUUGGGCUUCGAGUGUUUUGGGACUCAAUGUGGGAUGAGUUUUAGACUUAGGGUCUUUGGGCCUUAGUGGCCAUCAGAAUUCAGUUGCUUUGGGACCAAGGACUAAUAUUGGGCUUGAGUAAGGCCCAAUAAAAGGUUUUGGGCCCAAUAUAGAAAAUUGGGCCAUUAGUGGGCCUAUAGUGGGGCCAUUGAUGGACUUAGAAGGAAUUGAGGGUUUGGGCCAUAUUGUGACCCAUGCCAUAGUAGGGGUAAAAGGGUCAUUUUACCCAUAGGAGAAUCCCUAUUCUGAUUUAGUGUUUUAUUUCCCAUGAUAGCCAGGAAGCAGCCGAAGCAGCAGUCAGGGAUUUCUCAUUCAGCAGUUCAGCAGUCAGCAUCACGAGGUGAGUUUCCUUCUAGUAGGAACGGGUCUACGGCCACAAUGACGGCCCGUUUAGUUAGCAGUAGUUCCGGAUUCGGUCUAAUGUAGUAGUUUAGGAUGCUUGGUGUCUUUGUGAUUCAAGCAUGUCUAUGUGUUAUGUGUUCCGGGAUUCGGUCCUAUGCAGUUAGUUCCGGACUCCGGUCCGAUGCAGUUAGUUCCGGACUUAGGUCCGAUGUAGUCAGUUUCGGCUUCUGUCACACCCCCGAACCAGACGGCGGAAACGUCCGGGGGCUGUCGUGACUCAAUUGAAUACCAUAACAUUGAAUAUAUAUGAAACAAAACAACAUUCGUCACCAUUCAUCAACAUAAUACAACCAGUAGUGUUUACAUGUCAUACAUUGUUUGAGAUAUUACAUUUCCAAAAAUUAAUAUUGUUUGGUUCAUUCAAAAAUAAACUGCAACCGUCACUGAGCAUGAUUUCCCUUGACUCACUGGUUUCCUGAGAAUACAAGUAUUUUGAAAAACGUCAACAUAUGAAAUGUUGGUGAGUUCAUAAGUAGUGUUUGAAAUCGAAUGUUUAUAUUGUUUGAAAAACACCAGAAAAUCCGAUAUUUUCUGAAAAGAAAAGCUUUCAAAAACGUUUGUGAAGAUCCAUAGGUAUGCUUGUUUGUUUCUAUACUUGCAAAAAUUGUUCAUUUAAGAUGUAUGCGUUUAAAAUCUGUAUGUGAUAAAAACCCUAGGGAAACCCGAUGUUCCCCUAGUUCUUUUGAAAUCCAUUGAGUUGCGUUGAAACCAUUACAAAAAUAGUAGUAUCGGUCCCAAGCGACGUUGGAAGGUUCUCGAGCAUUGAUUAUUUACUACAAACCCGCAUUACACAAAUGCCCGGUUUAUAGAUAUACCAACGAUUCCCGAAGGCGUCGUCAGUACUAAUCACGUUAUCCAAUCGCCCGGACUAUGAGUGGUCCCACAUCCGAAGAGAAAGAGGUCACGAAGACCCCGGUAACUCUAUUAACCGGCUGGGGAAAUAUGUGUGCGAGGGGUCCCCGACCCGCCUCGUAAAAUGUGUAGACUUUUCUAGCAAUACCAUGGCCCUUGGGGUCCAAUGAUACAAGCCAUUGAAAGUCACCCUACGUUGUGCCAAGUCGGUAAAACUCAACACUUCGUAGAAAAAAAAAUGUCUUCGGGCCUUAAGAUCAGGUCAUUGGGCUAGCUAGGCCCAACAAACAAGAUUUUACACUUUUGGGGCCCGAAGAUGGUGCGUAGACGUCUGUGCACACUCGUAUGUAUGUGUAUUACCAAUCGUUAUUUGUAUGUAUCAAAGAGUUAGUAGUUGUAGAUUUCCAUUGGCUCGAGACCGAGCCAAUUCGUUUAGCAACGACUUUUGGUAUUGUAAUGAGUUGUAUUUCGUUGGUAGUCGAGGUAUCGUUAUUUGAUCAAAUUGUACAUAAUGUAUCAGCCUUGAAAUAUUUUUGUUUUCAGCCCCUCAUUAUUUGUAAAAUUUACAUUUUCAACCCUUUUAUUUAAGUAUUUCCCGGUUUGGUCCUUAAACUAUUUUUCUUGACAUUUUAACACCAAAAAUUAUUGAAAUUAAUAUUUUCCAGCAUAUUUUUCAAAGAAAACAGUUUAAGUCCCUGAAAAUGCAGUUUUUCUCGGUUUUAGCCCAUCUUUUCGCAAUUUUGACAAUUUUGGCCCAAAAUGGAAAAUUUUUGCAACUUUGGUCCUUUUUAAAUUUAAAAAGCAUUUUAAACCUUUGAAAAGGGUUUGGGACACUUAUAGUCCACUGUUUUACAGAAAGUUACAGUUUUGGCCCUCCAAAACAGAAAAAUUCGCAUAAUGGGCCUUAUUGGGCCGAAAUUUGCAUUUUUAGCCCAAUAGGCUUGAAAUUUAUGUUUUUAAUCCACCAAUUGAAUAGAAUUCCAGAAAUAGCUUUAUUGAAACUGUUUUGACACAUUUCAACCAUCAGAAUCUGUAAAAUGUCAUUUUGGGCCCUUAAUUUUGUAUUUUUCACAUUUUUGGCCCAAAAUGUGUGUUUUUAGCUUAAAGAAAAUUGUUGCUAACCACUUGGCUAUUUAUCUAGUAUCACUUAUUAUGUAGGAACAUAUUUGAAGCUAAUAUCAUAAAACAUGAGUUAUAUCUCGGUUUUGAGGGGUUUAAUGGCUAGAUCCAACAUUAAAACACAUAUAAGCAUACAUAUAAGCAUGGAAAUCAUACAAGGCAUACAAAUACAUAUAGAUCUACACUUUCACUUGUAUUCCCCCCCACAAAAACUCUUAAAAACAGAAAAUAGGGGUAUGAAUCUCACCUUGAGUGGGUAGUUUCGGUUCUUGAAGAAAAAUUGGAAGAAAUGAAGUGAUUUUUGGCCCUUGCACUCCUUGAUGAACUUUUCGAGAUUAUGGGGUUUCUAGAGUGCAAGAUCACGGUUUUUACAUGGAUUAGGAAGAGAUUUUGAUAACAAAAGAAUUUAAACCAUAGAUCUAUGAAUAAUCUUACCUUAGAUGAUGAUUUACUUGCAAAAUCCUCUUGGAAAGUCCCUAAAUUUCGAGAUCUUUGGAGAGGGGAGGGAAGGAGAGUUCUUUGAGUGUUCUAGAGAGAAAGUUGAGAUAUUUUGGUGUGUGUGAUGAUGCUUGGCCGAGAGUGAGAGAGGAGAGAAGAAGAAAUGACUUUUGAAGUGAUUUGCAUGGAGAUAUGGACUAAGAUGCAUGGAGACAUGUUGGGUAAUAAUGAGGUGGCAAGCAAAUAGUCAACCCUUCUUCUUGGGCUUUUCUUUUGGGCCGAAAAUGGGAAGGAAAAAAAAAGUUUUUGGGCUUUUUGCUCCUAAGCCCAACAUUAGUGUUAAUUAGGGUAUUUAUUGGACUUAUAAAAUAAAAUUGUGAUUUUUGUGCUUUAUUAAGCUAGGUUAGGUUUAAUUAUGGAUCAAAACUUGUGUUUUAUUUCCUUCUAGGUUCUACCUAGCCCAAAAUAUUGAAAUAAACGAAUGUGGGUCCAAUUAGAGCCCAAUUAGGGUCCUAAACCCAUGAUAGUCCAAUUGGAAGCUUAUUGGUCCAUUUGGAUCCAAUAAGGAAGUCUUAGUCCAAAAUGGACUUAACCAAAACUUCUAGGGUCUCCAAUUGUUUGAUGACUAUCUAUAGUACUUGUAUCUUGUAUUUGGUUAAAGUUUUUGAUUCACAUUAACUUGAAUGUAUAGAUUACAUAGCUUAAAAUUCACAGUUGUGACAUCAUCCCCCCGUUAGAGGGAAUUUCGUCCCGAAAUUCUGUUUGAAAGCUAGAUUUGAGAAAACUAGAAUAGGUGAGGGUACUUCUGCUUCAUUUGGUCUUCGCGUUCCCACGUGAAUUCUGGCCCACGCUUUGCGUUCCACCGUACCUUCACGAUCGGGAUGCGACUCUGCUUAGUACGCUUCACCUCCCUGUCCAUGAUUUCGAUUGGUUCUUCGACGAACAGGAGAUUCUCAUUGAUUUCGAUUUCGUCAAGAGGAAUGACAAGGGUUUCAUCUGAUAGGCACUUUUUCAGAUUAGAAACAUGAAACACGGGGUGCACACCGUUUAGCUCCGGGGGUAGUUGUAGUCUGUAGGCUACCGGACCUAUUCGGGCGACGAUUUCGAAAGGUCCAAUGUACCGUGGGUUUAGCUUUCCUCGUUUUCCGAAACGUAUAACUCCUUUCCAGGGUGAGACCUUCAACAAUACUCGAUCACCGACCUGGAAUUCUAAGGGCUUUCGCCGUUUAUCAGCGUAGCUCUUUUGCCGGUCACGCGAUGCCUGUAAUCGAGCUUUGAUCUGGACAAUCUUUUCUGUGGUCUCGCGAAUGAUUUCCGGUCCUGUCAUUGCCCUAUCCGACGUAUGUGUUCUUGCUAGCUGGGUGUCACCUACUUCAGCCCAACAUAACGGUGAUCUACAUUUACGCCCGUACAGUGCUUCGAAAGGGGCCACCUUAAUGCUCGAAUGAUAACUAUUGUUAUAUGAAAACUCGAUCAACGGUAGGUGGGUAUCCCAAGACUUUCCGAAGUCUAUCACACAUGCACGAAGCAUGUCUUCAAGCGUCUGAAUGGUUCGUUCGCUUUGACCGUCCGUUUGUGGGUGAUACGCGGUGCUCAUAUCAAGAUGAGUUCCCAUGGCCUUGUGGAGCGACUGCCAAAAGCGUGACGUGAACCUACUGUCCCUAUCCGAGAUGAUAGAUUUUGGCACUCCAUGAAGUCUUACAAUCUCUCGUAGGUACAAACGCGUCAGCCUCUCCAUCUUGUAGGACUCUUUGAUUGGCAGGAAAUGGGCAGAUUUCGUCAGUCGGUCGAUUAUUACCCAUAUGGUGUCCAAUCCGUCCGACGUCUUGGGCAGCUUGGUCACGAAGUCCAUAGAAAUCCCCUCCCAUUUCCACUCAGGGAUUGCCGGUUGCUGUAACAAUCCGGAAGGUUUCUGGUAUUCCACUUUUACUUUGGCACACGUAAGGCACUUACUAACAUAAGUUGCGAUUUCCGCCUUCAUGUUAGGCCACCAAUAGUGCUGCUUAAUGUCCAAAUACAUCUUGUCCGAACCAGGAUGAAUGGAGUAUCGUGUCUUGUGGGCUUCCUUCAUAACGGUCUCCCUGAAUCCUCCGAUUUUUGGAACCCAAAUACGGUUCAUGAAGUAGUAUACCCCAUUCUCUUUGACUUCCAGGUUCUUCUCCAUUCCGCGUAAUGCCUCGCUAGUUCUAUUUUCCGCUUUCAUAGCCUCUGCCUGGACUGAUGCAAUUUGAGUGGUCAGAUGAGACUGAAUGGUUAUCGAGUGCGUUUUCGUACGGCGAUUUGUGUAUUCCUUCCGACUUAAUGCGUCAGCUACCACGUUGGCCUUGCCUGGAUGGUACUUGAUCUCGCAUUCGUAGUCGUUUAACAAUUCCACCCAUCUUCGUUGUCUCAUGUUCAGCUCCUUCUGAUUCAAGAUGUGCUGGAGGCUCUUGUGGUCCGUAAAGAUGGUGCACUUUGUACCGUACAGGUAGUGCCUCCAAAUUUUUAGAGCGAAGACCACAGCUCCCAGUUCUAGGUCAUGGGUUGUGUAAUUUACUUCGUGCGCCUUUAGUUGACGGGACGCAUAUGCUAUCACUCUUCCACGUUGCAUGAGAACGCAACCUAAGCCUUGAUUUGACGCGUCACAGUAAACUACAAAAUCUUCCGUUCCUUCAGGUAGAGAUAGUACAGGAGCGCUGCAAAGAGCUUGCUUCAAGGUUCGAAACGCAAUCUCUUGUCGGUCUGUCCACUUGAAUGGCACACUCUUUUGCGUAAGCAAGGUAAGUGGCUUGGCGAUUUUUGAGAAGUUUUGGAUGAAUCUCCUAUAGUAGCCUGCUAGGCCUAAGAACUGACGAAUUUCUGUGGGCGUAGUCGGAGUUGCCCAUCCUUCCACAGCUUUGACCUUAGAGGGAUCCACAUGAAUUCCAUCUUGGCUAACUACGUGACCUAGAAAAUUCACGCUCCGUAGCCAAAACUCACACUUAGAGAGUUUGGCGUAAAGCCUUUCCGAUCGCAGCGUUUCUAGGACUUGUCGGAGAUGUUGGCCAUGCUCCUCUUUGCUUCGAGAAUAGACGAGGAUGUCAUCGAUAAACACAAUGACGAAGUUGUCCAAGAACGGUCGACAGAUUCGGUUCAUUAGGUCCAUAAAUGCGGCAGGUGCAUUUGUUAGACCGAAGGGCAUUACGACGAAUUCAUAAUGUCCAUAGCGGGUUCGGAAAGCGGUUUUAGGAAUAUCUUCUUCUCGGACCUUGAGUUGAUGGUAUCCGGACCGUAGAUCUAUUUUAGAAAAAUAGCUAGCUCCUUGGAGCUGGUCGAAUAGAUCAUCGAUUCGCGGGAGUGGGUAGCGGUUUUUAACAGUGAGUUUAUUCAACUCUCUGUAAUCGAUGCACAUUCUGAAAGAUCCGUCCUUCUUUUUGACAAAGAGCACCGGAGCUCCCCAUGGCGAGUAGCUAGGUCGGAUAAAUCCCUUGUCCAGAAGCUCACUGAGUUGGCUGGACAAUUCCUGCAUUUCAGCAGGUGCCAACCGAUAUGGUGAUUUAGCGAGAGGAGUUGCUCCUGGAACGAGGUCGAUUCGGAACUCAACCUGUCUCUCUGGGGGUACUCCUGGAAGAUCUUCGGGAAACACGUCCGGAAAUUCACACGCUACCGGAAUGUCUUGGAUGUUAGUUUCUUCUUUGGUCUUGUCCACUAUGUGGGCCAAGAACGCUAAGUUGUUCUUUCGCAGAUGUUUUUGUGCUUUGAUGCACGAGAUAAGACGAAGAUUCGUGCUAGGUUUGUCUCCGUAAAUUACUAGGGUUUCGUGAUUCGGGAGACGAAGGCGAACGGCCUUCUCGUGGCACAUAAUCUCAGCAUGGUGGGGGCUUAACCAAUCCAUGCCGAUAAUCACAUCGAAACUCCUAAUUGAUACUGGCAUUAGGUCUAUUCGAAAGACGUGCUGGUUAAGGGUUAGGGUACAUCCGAUGUAGAUCUCCCUAGUGGAUUCGGUUUUCCCAUUGGCCAUUUCCACCGUAUAGGUUUCAUUUAGCUUCUGGGGUUGUUGUUUUAGUAAAUGUUUAAACUUCUCGCUUACGAAACUUCGCUCCGCUCCGGUAUCAAAUAAGAUGCAUGCAUAAGUGUGGUUUAGGAGAAACGUACCGGUCACAACUGCGGGAUCUUGAACUGCAUCACUCUGACCCAUAGUCAGCAUUCUUCCUGUUCCUCUGUUUCCGGAGUUGUUGUUGUUGUUAGGGCAAUCUCGACGGAAAUGUCCCGUCCUUCCACACCCGAAACAGGUGUGGCUAGGCCCUGCGUUGUUGCCGCCGGCAUUGGUGUUGUUGAUGUUGCGGUGAUUGUUGUUGUUGUUCUGGUUGUUUCCCUGACUCUGGUUCUGAGAAGGAUAAGUCCUGCAGAACUUUGCAGUGUGUCCCCUUCGGUUGCAACUGGUGCAAUGGAACUCCCUACAUUCUCCUUGGUGAUGGAAACCGCACUUGUUGCAUUUGGGAUGAGUGCCGGAAUAGGGUCUUGAAGUAUUUGAAGUAGCUGAGGCUGGAGCAUGUGAUGUGACUGGUACCGGCGCAGUGACAGCGUGAACUGCCACCGUUUGCUGCUUUUUAGAGGUCUCGGGACCUUGACGCCCCUUCCUCUUGUUGUUCCAUCCCUUCUUACCAUCGCUCUCCUUCUUCUUCUCAGUCUCUACCGGUUUCUCGCCCUUUUUGUGGUUAUGAUCAUAGAGCCUCUUUGCCAAUCUCUUCGCGCUGUCAAACGUUUCAGGGUUAGCAGCUAUCACAUUCCCUUGAAUGGGGGAUGUCAAUCCCCAAAUGAAUCGUUCAAUCUUCUUCCCCUCUGAUGUGAUCAUACCCGGGCACAACAGAGAUAGUUCGCUGAAUCUCGAUAUGUAAGCAUCGAUGUUCCCAUUCUGCACCGUGAGAUUCCAUAGUUCCUGCUCCAUCUUCUGUAUUUCGCCUCGGGGGCAGUACUCAGCCGUCAACAUCUCUUUCAUCUCUGCCCAGGGAAUAGAGUUGGCGACAGGGAGUGUCAUAGCUUCCACAUGACCAUUCCACCAAGUGAGUGCUUGGUCCACAAAAGUGCAGGCCGCGAACUUCACUUUCAUCUGCUCGGGGCACUCGCAUAUCUCGAAUACCGACUCUACCUUCUCGAUCCAUCGCUUUAGGGCGAUCACUCCUCCGGUACCGUUGAAAGUUCGGGGUUUAGCGUUCGCAAAAUCCUUGUAGGUGCACGUUUUAGUGAGUCCUUGGUUCGUCCCGUUGUUCGAACUUCCGGAUCCUUGCCCGUUACCUCCUCCGUUGUUCCCUCGGUGAAGUUGUGCCAUAGCCGCUGUGACCGCAGCAGACACGGCUGCCUGGAAAGCAGUGGAGUCAACUUCCGGCGGGGUUGGUUCGGGAUUUCCGCGAGUAGCUGGGCGAGGCAUCUUUCUGUCAUGAAACGGAAAGAUGUUGAGUGUACGUGGUUUCGGUGAGGUUAUGAUCCUACUAACUAGGUGUAUGGUACGAACCUAAGCAUUACUAUCAUCAAGCAUACAAUCAUAACGCCUCAACAUAUAACAACUGAGAAUAUCAUAGCAAAACACACAAAAGUUUAUUAAUAUUAUCCGCAUUUAGUACAAGAAAAUUUGCUCGUAGGAGCAUACAUAAGUAACACUAAUCCGACAGCAUAACGGCUCCAUGAGUAGUGUAGUCACUUAAACAUAGAGCCGGAGUACAUAACAUAGUUACUAAUAUCCUACUACGAUAGGUCUAUCCCUAACCGCGAUGAGCUGCGUCAGGAGGUGGUGCCGAAGUCAUAUGCCGAAAUGUUGCGCCAGUAGCUGCGCCAUCUCUGCCAUGUCUCCUAUAACUUCAUCCCUCUCGUGCUCUGCUCUCACUGCCCGAGCUUCCAUAGCAUACAGCUGUUGUCGCAGUGCGGCGAUCUCAGCUUCGAGGGAACGGUUCUCCCUUGGGGGGUUCACUGGUGGAGCGGGGUGAUCUGGUUGUGCCUCGUCCUCGCAUGGUGGGAUGGGGUCCUGGCCCCCGACCUGACCCUCCUCGUCGUCAUCGUCGACCUCUCCAAAUUCGUAGUCGGUGUCUAUAUAUUCGUCGGGUUCGACGUCGUGUGCUUCUCCUGGAUGCUCUCCCGGCUCAUCCACCAGCAUCCCGUGAGCUACUAAGGCCUGAUGAAACUGGAUACCCGGCUGCUCCUCCUCAGGCUCCUCCUCCUCCUCUAGCCACCCGUUGUUUCCCUGAUUAGGGAAGUAGGGGUCUCCAGGGUGAUGAAAACCAGCCAUGCUGUCUGCGCGAGUACGUAAUUAUGCUACAUUAUUCCUAGGGUACUAUGACUAUUACACAGACUAAGCAAAUAUUCUCUUUUUGGGUGAUAUAGGGUAAAAUUUUUAGGUUCCCUGGCUAUUCCGAUCUCAUCAAGACAUGUGUUAGUUUUACCUUGGAGAGAAUGUAGUUGAUCAGGCUACAUUCACUCCUUGGUAUCACUAAGAACAGUCCCGAAUUAACCGAGAUACCAGUAUUAUGGUGUUUGAUUCAGCGUUAGGUCCUUACUCCUAAUGCAAGCAAGUGUAUUUUAUUCAUUUGUUUUGUUCAGAGUUAUGUUAGUCCCUCUUUUUGGUUUAUAGUUGCAUAUCAAUGUAUGGCUCGACAUGCUAGUUCACUAUAAACAAAGCUCUGAUACCAACCUGUCACACCCCCGAACCAGACGGCGGAAACGUCCGGGGGCUGUCGUGACUCAAUUGAAUACCAUAACAUUGAAUAUAUAUGAAACAAAACAACAUUCGUCACCAUUCAUCAACAUAGUACAACCAGUAGUGUUUACAUGUCAUACAUUGUUUAAGACAUUACAUUUCCAAAAAUUAAUGUUGUUUGGUUCAUUCAAAAAUAAACUGCAACCGUCACUGAGUAUGAUUUCCCUUGAUUCACUGGUUCCCUGAGAAUACAAGUAUUUUGAAAAACGUCAACAUAUGAAAUGUUGGUGAGUUCAUAAGUAGUGUUUGAAAUCGAAUGUUUAUAUUGUUUGAAAAACCACCAGAAAAUCCGAUAUUUUCUGAAAAGAAAAGCUUUCAAAAACGUUUGUGAAGAUCCAUAGGUAUGCUUGUUUGUUUCUAUACUUGCAAAAAUUGUUCAUUUAAGAUGUAUGCGUUUAAAAUCUGUAUGUGAUAAAAACCCUAGGGAAACCCGAUGUUCCCCUAGUUCUUUUGAAAUCCAUUGAGUUGCGUUGAAACCAUUACAAAAAUAGUAGUAUCGGUCCCAAGCGACGUUGGAAGGUUCUCGAGCAUUGAUUAUUUACUACAAACCCGCAUUACACAAAUGCCCGGUUUAUAGAUAUACCAACGAUUCCCGAAGGCGUCGUCAGUACUAAUCACGUUAUCCAAUCGCCCGGACUAUGAGUGGUCCCACAUCCGAAGAGAAAGAGGUCACGAAGACCCCGGUAACUCUAUUAACCGGCUGGGGAAAAAUGUGUGCGAGGGGUCCCCGACCCGCCUCGUAAAAUGUGUAGACUUUUCUAGCAAUACCAUGGCCCUUGGGGUCCAAUGAUACAAGCCAUUGAAAGUCACCCUACGUUGUGCCAAGUCGGUAAAACUCAACACUUCGUAGAAAAAAAAUGUCUUCGGGCCUUAAGAUCAGGUCAUUGGGCUAGCUAGGCCCAACAAACAAGAUUUUACACUUUUGGGGCCCGAAGAUGGUGCGUAGACGUCUGUGCACACUCGUAUGUAUGUGUAUUACCAAUCGUUAUUUGUAUGUAUCAAAGAGUUAGUAGUUGUAGAUUUCCAUUGGCUCGAGACCGAGCCAAUUCGUUUAGCAACGACUUUUGGUAUUGUAAUGAGUUGUAUUUCGUUGGUAGUUGAGGUAUCAUUAUUUGAUCACAUUGUACAUAAUGAAUCAGCCUUGAAAUAUUUCUGUUUUCAGCCCCUCAUUAUUUGUAAAAUUUACAUUUUCAACCCUUUUAUUUAAAUAUUUCCCGGUUUGGUCCUUAAACUAUUUUUCUUGACAUUUUAACACCAAAAAUUAUUGAAAUUAAUAUUUUCCAGCAUAUUUUUCAAAGAAAACAGUUUAAGUCCCUGAAAAUGCAGUUUUUCUCGGUUUUAGCCCAUCUUUUCGCAAUUUUGACAAUUUUGGCCCAAAAUGGAAAAUUUUUGCAACUUUGGUCCUUUUUAAAUUUAAAAAGCAUUUUAAACCUUUGAAAAGGGUUUGGGACACUUAUAGUCCACUGUUUUACAGAAAUUCACAGUUUUGGCCCUUCAAAACAGAAAAAUUCGCAUAAUGGGCCUUAUUGGGCCGAAAUUUACAUUUUUAGCCCAAUAGGCUUGAAAUUUAUGUUUUUAAUCCACCAAUUGAAUAGAAUUCCAGAAAUAGCUUUAUUGAAACUGUUUUGACACAUUUCAACCAUCAGAAUCUGUAAAAUGUCAUUUUGGGCCCUUAAUUUUGUAUUUUUCACAUUUUUGGCCCAAAAUGUGUGUUUUUAGCUUAAAGAAAAUUGUUGCUAACCACUUGGCUAUUUAUCUAGUAUCACUUAUUAUGUAGGAACAUAUUUGAAGCUAAUAUCAUAAAACAUGAGUUAUAUCUCGGUUUUGAGGGGUUUAAUGGCUAGAUCCAACAUUAAAACACAUAUAAGCAUACAUAUAAGCAUGGAAAUCAUACAAGGCAUACAAAUACAUAUAGAUCUACACUUUCACUUGUAUUCCCCCCCACAAAAACUCUUAAAAACAGAAAAUAGGGGUAUGAAUCUCACCUUGAGUGGGUAGUUUCGGUUCUUGAAGAAAAAUUGGAAGAAAUGAAGUGAUUUUUGGCCCUUGCACUCCUUGAUGAACUUUUCGAGAUUAUGGGGUUUCUAGAGUGCAAGAUCACGGUUUUUACAUGGAUUAGGAAGAGAUUUUGAUAACAAAAGAAUUUAAACCAUAGAUCUAUGCAUAAUCUUACCUUAGAUGAUGAUUUACUUGCAAAAUCCUCUUGGAAAGUCCCUAAAUUUCGAGAUUUUUGGAGAGGGGAGGGAAGGAGAGUUCUUUGAGUGUUCUAGAGAAAAAGUUGAGAUAUUUUGGUGUGUGUGAUGAUGCUUGGCCGAGAGCAAGAAGGGAGGAGAGAAAGAAGUGACUCUUGAAGUGAUACAUGCAUGGAGGUAUGUGAUUUGUGCCUAGAAAUCCAUUAGGUAAUAGUGAGGUGGCAACCAAAGUCAACCUCCCUUGGAUUUGGGCCUUGGGCCGAGAAUAUGAAGGGGAAAGAGGAAAAAUUUGGGCUUUUGCCCCUAAGCCCAACAUUAGAGGUAGUUUAGGGUAUUUAUUGGACUUAUAAAAUAAAAUUGUGAUUUUUGUGCUUUAUUAAGCUAGGUUAGGUUUAAUUAUGGAUCAAAACUUGUGUUUUAUUUCCUUCUAGGUUCUACCUAGCCCAAAAUAUUGAAAUAAACGAAUGUGGGUCCAAUUAGAGCCCAAUUAGGGUUCUAAGCCCAUGAUAGUCUAAUUGGAAGCUUAUUGGUUCAUUUGGAUCCAAUAAGGAAGUCUUAGUCCAAAGUGGACUUAACCAAAACUUCUAGGGUCUCCAAUUGUUUGAUGACUAUCUAUAGUACUUGUAUCUUGUAUUUGAUUAAAGUUUCUGAUUCACAUUAACUUGAAUGUAUAGAUUACAUAGCUUAAAAUUUACAGUUGUGACAGCUUCAGUCCGAUGCAGUUUCCGGACUUUGGUCCGAUGGAGAGGGCAAGGCCCUGGUUAGUUCCGGACUUCAGUCCAAUGCCGUUUCCGGACUUCGGUCCGAUGCAGUGGGCAAGGCCCAAGAUGUGUUUAUAUGUUAUUGUAUGGUAUGUGAUAGUUUGGGGGAACUCACUAAGCUUCGUGCUUACAGUUUUCAGUUUUGGUUUCAGGUACUUCCGCAUUGCACACACUACAACUUCAGUUUUAUUCCUGGGAGUUUUUCUUAGUUAUGAUGUGAUACAGUUCCGAUACAGUUUGUGAUACGACAUUUUAUUAUGGUUUGAAAUAUUUAACGUAUGGGUUUUAUAUUAUGACAUUCAGUAUAUGAUUUUAGUAUUAUUAAACAAAAAUUUUUGGGACGUAUUUUUGGGUCGUUACAAGUUGGUAUCAGAGCCUUGGUUUGAGGGAUUCGGAUACACUUUCGGGUGUGUCUUGAUGGGUUUUGGCCAUAUGAACAUUCCUAUGUGCACAUGCAAACCCUAAUGCUUGGAUCUAGGUUUCUCUAAUUAAACAUGCUUUCUAUCCAAGACUUCUAAUGACUAAUUAGGUAUAAGAACAAUACAAAAUCAGAUCUAGAAGCUUACCUUUGAAUCUCUUGUUUGAUCUUGUUGUCUUGGAGCUCUAGAGUCACAAUUGUCACUCCUCUAAUGGCUUACAAACACCAACUAGCAAGGAGGAUGAUUUGAGAGAGAGGUUGGAGGAAGAAAUCGGCCAGAGUAUCUUUACUAUGUUGGAGGUGCCGAUUUCCCUUACCCAAGGGGUCUAUUUAUACUUGUAAGGCUCUUAGGGUUUCACCCUUAAACCCUAAUUGGAUAACUUAAACUUUAAGUAAUCCUAAUCCCUAUCUAAGAUAGCCUUGGACGAUUUUAGGCUUAUCCUAGCCCUAGAAAUCGUCCAUACCCUAUCCCAUAAGGAUUUACAGCCCAAAGUGUAACUAUCAGACAAUUGACAGUUUAUACCCUCUUAUUUAAUUAAUCUCUUUAAGUCACCAAAUUAAUACUAAUCAAUCUAUGACUUAUAUUAAUUAAAUAACUAUAUUAUUAUUCCUUAUAUUAUUCUCAUAAUAUAUUAAUAAUAUCUAUUCUCUCAUAAUAAAUCAUCCUGUCAAGUUGCUAUGGUGAAGGCAACCCAAAAGGACCAUGCACAAUCGGGUCAAAUACUUGCAUAAUAUAGUUGCAGCCUUAGACACUAUUCCAACAUGUCUGAACUCAAACUAAGGAAAUGGUAAAAGAUUUUUAAAAGAAAAACAUUUUUGAAAAAGAACUUAGAAAUAAAAGAGUUUUGAUAAGAGAAAAGGGUGUGGUGCAUGUGAUCAGCCGAGCUCAAGUAAGUACUCCCAAAUUACCCAUACAAGUUUAUAUUAUGAUUAUCUGCUUCAGUUUCAGUAGAACAACAUGCUAGUAUAGGACUAAGGAUCUAUGAGGAUGUCUUAUGUGCCUACUUUAUGUGUUUCAGCUUUAUGAGAAUUGCAUGCUAGUAUUUGAGUAGACAGCAGUAGGAUAGCCUGAUUAGGUUAUGCCUGGUAAUAUGAGCUUAGCAUUGUAUGCUAGUACAAUUUCUCAUUAUGAGGAUAGAAUUGUUUGAGUAGUUUCCUGUGUCCGAAUGCUACUUGCUUUGUGCUUUGUGGGACUCUGAGUAAUGGGAGUUAGCCAUUAGGUGAAUACGUCACAUCACAUGUGAUCAGGGUUGAAUAAUCUCAGAGUGUUGGAUUUGGCCCUACUGCACAGCUCUCGUUUGAGUCUAACCGUUAUAGGGAUGACUCUUUUACUCGAAGGAUUAUCCGAGCCUCAUCACAUGUGAUGGUAUUCAGGUGAUGACUAAUUGGCAUUACAAGGAGGCCUGCAGCGACUGAUGACUGGUUUUGGUUGAGUCAGAGAUUUCCCUAGUGCAAGCCUAGGAUGAGAGUAGCAGAGAUUAGUAGCAAUGUUAGUGGCUUGGUGGAAUCAAGGCGGUCCUUGAGGAAGGUACAGGUAGAUGUGGAAGGUAGUAGGGCCCCAUACUACUGGAAGCAGAGGAUCUGUACUUGAAUCGAGGAAGGCUGAGAUGAGACCGGAAAGCCUGUAGUAGUAGUGAUCCCUCGAGAUAAAUCAGUAUUUCUAACGUUUAUCAUGAUGUGUUUUUAGAAUGGUGGUUUUACGCCUUAGACCAGCAGGCGGCAGUUCAGGUGCCGGGGAGGGAUCAACAUCAAGCUCGGGGGCCGAGCAGUUGGAUGAGCAGACUAGAGAGUUCUUCACUUCAGAAGUUACUUGUAUCAUUCUCGAGCAGACUCCAGUGAUCUUCUGUUCGAUCAAGGAGGGUAUACUAGAGUUGAUGGAGGAGAAACUAAGCACAUUCGUGCUGAGGUGGCGGCCAUGAUGGGGUCGCGCACACAUACGUUCAAGGAGUUACGGGCAUGUGGGGCUCCAGACUAUCACAGGGCAUGUAUAAUAAUUUAACCGUUCAUGUUAGAAAAAAUUAUUUAAAACAUGAAGAAGAAGAUGAUGCAUGUAAUCAAUGCAGGUACGGAAAUAUAAGCAUAUUGAUUGCAAACUCAUUUCCUAAUAAUAAAUAAAUUUAGAAGUACAAUUAUGUUUUCAUUUUCUCACAUUGAGGGGGUAAUGGGUUAUAUAGUCCAAUGAUAUUUGUUUUCUCUUCAUAAAUCAUGGCACUAUAAUAAUUUUGAAUGGGGCCAUAUACAGAAAACCAUUAUAUUUUAGUCAUUUUUUUCUGUUCAACAUAUUUUCAUUUACUUUCUUAUUAUAGCAUCAUACUUUCAUUUCUUCCAGUUAUAGCAUCAUACUUUGAAAAAUAUACCCAAUUACACAUGGCUACAAUGGCUUGAUAAGAAAAGUUGAAAGUAGAAUGCUAUAAAUGGGUGGAUUUUGAAAGUACCUAUAUGCUGGUCUUGGGUCAUUUAUUAAAGGCUAAAAUGCUAGAAAUAGCAAUUUACUUUCAUCGAUUUGCUUAUCAGAGCAUCAUACUUUCUCUUUUUCCUANUGAUUAAUUGCUAAUCAAAGUCUGUUCAUUUUCAAGUUUUAAUUUGAAUAAAUGCUAAUUAGUUGUGUUAAUUAGCACCUUGGCAGUUUUGUUUUUUCUUGUUUCUAUUUCCUUUUUUUCCCAGCUGUUCAUGAUUGAUUUAGUAUACCUUUUCUUUCAUCCACCAUCUACUUGUUCUCUCUUGCCAACAAUAUAAAGCAUAGCAUACAACUGAUUUCUUGUUUUUAGUUAUUUGGUUAUAUAUAACAAGGGUAUUUUGGUCAUUUGACAAACCUUCUUCCUUAAUGGAGUGUCAAACACCAUGAUCUGAUUUCUCUUAAUUCAUUUUUUCACCAUAAAAUCCAACAUUAACUUUGAAUCUUUCACAUGUAGGCCCAGAUUUUUUGGCCUAGGUAGUCUUCUAUCCUUAUGCUGAUUCUGUGUCUUUCAGAAGUAUGCUUCUUAUGAUCCUUCCACUCGCUUCAUGUCGUUGAUUCUGUCUGUCACCACCAGAACCUCAUAAAAGUUUCUGCUGACGUGUCACACUAGUGUUGACCUGGAAUUUGUGAAAAGUCCAAUGCCAUAUAUUUUCUCUUCAUAAAUCAUGGCACUCUACUUCUGCUUGCCUUAUGAAAUCCACCCAAGUUUGGAGAAAUAUUCUAUGCUGACCACUUUGACCUACUAUAGCAGGUUAAAGUGGUCACAAUAGAAAAUUUUGUCAAAGUUGAGUGACUUUAGUGAAAUUAAGAGGACUAAACUUUGACAACCUUUUCAAUUAUGACCCACUUUAACCUGCUAUAGUAGGUCAAAUUUGUCGAUAUAGAAAGAAAUUUCAAACUUGGGUAGGUUUGAUGAGCUAAAACUGAAAUGGAAUUGUUAAACUGCAAAAAAAUGGCCGAGAUAUUGUGAUUUUUCUAUAUAUUGCCCUUUUGUAGUUCAACUUACAUUGUCGACGUUACUGAACUACCUUAGUUUUGGGAAGCACUUGUGCAUGUACAUAGCAAAUAGCUAAGCUUUGUUAAUUUAAAUAGAUCCAUUGAUUUUUCAUCUGUUGUUGUAGUGUUCUCAAGUAGGCGUUGCUUCUUGGUUCUUAUGCCAAUACUCCAAAAUGAUUUAUAUAAUUGAGUGUCCUGCCCUAUCAAGAGUGUUUCCAUCCAAUGUAGUGGGACAACUGAAUAAGCUUGAAGAGUUGAUAAUAGAAGAAUGUAAGUCAAUGGUGGAGAUAUUUGAAAGUAAAGAAAUAAACAAAGAUGGUGUUGAUAGUACUACGAAUGUUGGUGAUGGAAGUGAUGAUACUUGUACUGCAAUCACCCUCCCAAGGUCGACCAAUAUGACUCUGCUUCAAUUGCCCAACCUAACAAUAUUGUAUAUAUAUAAAUGUGAAGUAUUGGAAUAUAUAUUCACAAGUUCCACACUUGAAAGCCUCAAGCAACUCAAAGAACUGACUGUAAAACAAUGCAAGGCAAUGAAAGUGAUUGUGAAGGAAGACGGAGAUUUACCAGAACUCAAGGGUUUCUUCCCUCGUCUCAUGUCCCUUUUGCUGGCUGAUUUACCAGAUCUCAAGGGUUUCUUCUUGGGGGGUUUCAGGUCGGUUCAUAUAUAACCACUUCCCAUUUUUUGUAUGUAUAAAAAGUUACGAAAAUAUGCAAUUUUUUUUUAAUAUAAGUUAAUAUUUCAUUCCUAAGAUAUUAAGUGGUCUCUUAUGUUAUAAAAGAUGUUAUAUUCACUAAUUCAUAAGUUAGCAAUUUAAUAUUUUAAUCAAGUUAGAUGAAGUAAAGACAAAAGGCCCAAUUGACGCAUUCACUGAGGGUGGUUUUUUCCAUGUCCAAAGAUUUUUGAACAUAUACUAUACUAGUUUCCGUUUGAUCAGAAUCAGAUCAACAACCCCUUCUUCUUUACAGUGUCCCUAUUGUAACCACAAAAAUCAACAAAUACAGGGACCAAAUUUGCAGUUUUCGCUAAAACGUAUUUUAAUUUGACAAAAAAAUUGAUCGGUUUGUAGAAAAACAAAGUAUUCAAUUAAAGGAAUAACAAAAUAAGCACCUAAGAAAAAGUGCUUCUAAAAUUUACAAAAUAUUUACGUUCCUUAAAAAUACAAGACUUAAGAAUUUAUAUCAAAUAUAUGAACAUAAAAAAUUAUUUUCUUGUGUAUUACAAAUGAUACUUUUCAAGUUCAUUCUUAUUCAAAUCAUUUGUAAAUUUCAUAGAAUGUGAUCGUUUGGUACCUGACAUAAAUCAUUAAUUAGGAACUUAGAACUAACAUCUUCAUUCGGUUAAGAAAAGAAAACACAAAAUAGAUGGAAAUUAAAGCAUUGCCUUAUUUUACAUAUUUUCACUCAUAUCUGUUAACAAAUAGAUUUUUGUAUGGAAGUAUAUAUUGUAAUUAAAUCAUUUAUAUCGUUUCAUCCAAUUUAAUUCAGUUAUCUAACAUAUUUUACAAAUAUUGUGAUGUUAGUUGUUACUUAAUCAAGUUCUUUUCUCUCUCAUCUUUUACAAGCUAAACAUUUUUUUAGCGUUUAUUUCCUAAAAUUGACGAAAAUAGUAUAACUAAGAUGAUUCUAAAAGUGUAAGUAUAUCAUUUGUUGUAUUUGACAAUGCAAUAAAAAAUACAAUAACAUAAUUAUCUUUUUUCCUAAAAAAAUUGGAUGUAAAUAUCCGGUACAUGAAAAAUUACCCUUUUUGAAGUAGCCAAAACACUUAAAAGAGGUGACUUUGGGUGGAUUAAAUAAUUUGAAGCAUAUGUGGAAGAGCAAUCGGUGGAUAGUGUUGAACUUUCCAAACCUUACAAAGGUGUCGAUUUUUAGAUGUGACCUUCUUGGGCACGUGUUCACUUGUUGCAUGGUUGGUAGUCUAUUGCAUCUCCAAGAGCUAAAAAUAAGUUACUGCCAGAGUAUGAAUGUGAUUGUGAAGCAAGUUGAAGAUUCCGAGACCAGACCGACUACUGAGGUUGUGUUCCCUUGUCUGAAAUCCAUAAGACUUCACAACCUUCCAAAUCUCAUGGCAUUUUUCCUGGGGAAGGAGGCUUUUAAAUGGCCAUUAUUAGAUACUUUGGAAAUCAAAAAUUGUCCAAAAAUAACAGUUUUCACAAAUGGGCAAUCAACUACUCCAGAGCUGAAGUUAAUAGAUACAACUUUUGGAUUGUGUCAUGCAACGGAAGACCCAAACUCUUUUAUAAAGACCAAACAACAAGAGGUACGUGGUGUCUCCUUUGGUUAUUAUUAACAGAUUAAUAUGUUUGAUCGAACAAAACGUUUACUUUACUCUCGAAUUUACAACUUGUUGUAAUCUCCUAAAGGGAUGGGAGUUCUAGAGCAACAUCAAAUUUACACGUGUGGUUUGGUUCGUUUUGAAGUUAGCUAUAUAGCACAGGUAAGAUUACAUCGUACACUUAUUUCCUUCUUCCCAAUCAUGUACAUGUUUCUCCACCUUAGUUAUCUGAUCAUUGAAUUGACUUUUUGUCACAGUUGCUUGCUUACUACUCUUUCAUUUCGGGUUAUUGAACUUCUAUUUUCAAGUAAUCUUAUCUGUGAUGUGUCCACUUCUUGUAUUUAAUUAAGCUGUGACCAACUUAGCAAUAAUUACACAAGUUUUUAUUAAUUGGUCUGUACAUGUUCCACUAUUUUAAAUAGUAAAUAAAUUCAGUGGUUGAAGGUGCAUAGAAUGAUAAUCCAUCAUACAUGAAACUUUCUUAGCUCACACCAGGUAAGAAAGAAAAAAAAAUGAAGCUAAUUUGCUAGAACAUAAAACUUCUCUUAAUUCGACAGAUCUGUGCUCUUAAUUUUUAUGAACGCCCGGUGUUUGAUAAAAUUCUUCAAUGAAAAAAGACCCAUAAACUUUUGGCUCCUUUUUUAAGUCAAGUGUAUUAAUGUUUGUUUUGUAUAUGAGCACUUAAAUUUUGAGGAAGCGACUCCAUUUCUCUCUUGUAAGUUGAGUGUGUCAGUGUCACCCAUAUAAAAGCUUUGUUUUUCAAUCUCUGAAAUAAAAAGAAUAAAAUUUGGUUACAAAUAUCUUAUGUUCAGUGCCGGUUUCCAUCGCCAGCUUCAAUGAAUCUAUCUCAUGAUGAUUUUGAAUUAACAAUUGUUCACUAAACCUAGAUAAGUUACAAUUAUGCCCAUGACUAUGAGCCAUCCAUUGAUUAUUUUAAACCUAUUGAGAAACAGAACACUUAUGCAUAUUAUCUGAUUUUUGAUGCAUCUGAGGUUUAACAUUUUUUUUUAUAAUCAAAUUUAGGUUGAUAUUGGAGUUGCCAUUUAUAAUCAAAUUUAGUUUGAUAUUGGUUGGUUGUUUGUGGAAUUCAUAUGUUUAUGGAAUUCAGUGUUAAAAGUAUAAAUCAACAAAAAUAGAGAAAAUCACGCUCAGAUUCUGAAAAUGCCACUUAAGUAGAAAUUAUUUGAAGAAAAAACAUUAUAUUUUCAUUCAUUGUUUAAUUUAUCUCUUUGUGCAUGUUUUUGUUGACAUACCAUUGUACCAUAUGAUAACAUGAAUUUUUUUUUAUGUGGUGGCUGGUUUAGUUGGAUUAAAAGACAUUACCUGUUAAGUUGAUUUUAUGUGGUGGCGGGCUUAGUUAGAAAUAUUUUAUGAAAAACACAUUAUAUUUCCAUUUCUUCAGCAUCUUCAAACCUUUGGUCAUUUCUUUGAAGUUGCAUAAUGAUCAAUGUUGCAUACUUUAUGUCAGUCGUAUAAAUUUGUAUUGAAAGUGAAACACUGUUGCAGAAUUUGUCUAAAAAAAAAAUUGGUGCAUAAACUGGUCCUAGAAUGAAACAUAGUUGAAUAAUGCAUAUUAUGUCUAAAAAAAUAUUUUGUUGCAUAAAUUGACUAACAUGUGCAAUCAAUGUACGUGGCUUAAACAUGUUAAACCAUAUGGUUAAAAAUGUAAUUCAUUCACUUUUCUUAGAAGCAUAUGGUUCCUAGUACAAAUAGAAUCCUAAUAGACAGAUGAAAAUAAAAUCAUAUUCCUAACCAUCAAACGGCUCCUAGGUGAUUACUUCUUCCCUUUGCUCGACUCAAACGGCUCUAGCUUCGGCCGCAAAGAGUUGACGUUUGAGAUUGGCUAUUUCUUUCUCAAGAGAGUGUAUGUAGUCUGUAUCACUUUCCUCAAUAGUGUAUGAGUCUGAUAGGGCUUCCGAUGGGUGGGGCUUACUAGGUGUAUCCUUAACGUCCUUUCCUUCAUCUGACUCCUGGUUAGAUUCGUCAUAUUUGUAAUCAGUUACCACGUACUCUUCCGGUUCCACUCUGGGUCCCACCUCCCAUUGCAGGGCCUCCUUCAGGGUUUUCUUCAGGAUUGUCAUCUAGACCCACAUCAAUCUCCCUAUAGACUACUAGAGCUUGAUAGUAGGGGUCGUCUUGCUGCAUUCCUGCCAUAUUGCCCGCAUGGGAAGUAUAGGUGUGAAAAGUGUGUGCAUUGGGGUGUAUAAGGAUAAUAUUCUUAAAAUAUUCCUACAAUGUUUAUUUUUCUUAAGUUUAGUUCCUCUAACCUAUUUGGAUAGUUAGAUGGUAAGCUUUCGGUUUAUUGACCAUCACGAUUAUUCCCAAACAUAUGUUGAUCGUACUUUGAAUGAAUGUAGUUAAUCAGGCUACAUUGAUCCCCAAUGCGAUUACAUAACUGCCCAUGUUAAAUCGCAAUGUUCAAAUCCCCCAAAGACUUUUAUUGUUUAGUAUCAUGCUAUUAUUCUAAAACACGCACAUAGGUAAGUAUUUUAUUUACUCUGUUCAGAGUUAUUUAGCCCCAUUAUGUUUAUAGUUGCAUAUCAUGUAUGCUUAGAUAUGUUAGUUCACUAUAAACAAAGCUCUGAUACCAACCUGUCACACCCCUGAACCAGACGACGGAAACGUCCGGGGGUCGUGUGACUUGAAUUGAAAUAUUAUCACAAUGAAUAUACAAGAAACAUAACAUAAACAUGACCAUGCAGUAAUACAUUACAACUGACCUUGUUCACAUCAAGUACAUUGUUUACAUUACAAUAUCACAGAGCAUAAAUUGUUUAACGAUUGACAUUUGCACAAAAGAAAUUUCAGAAACACGCUUGAUGAUUCUUCAUUCUAACGGUUACCUGAGAAUACAAGUUAUUUUGAAAACGGUCAACAUAUAUAAUGUUGGUGAGUUCAUAAACAUGUUUGAUAUAAAAAUAGUUUGUAUUUUUUGUAAAACCCAGAAAAUCUGAUAUUUCCUGUAACAAAACUGUUUACGAAAAAGAUGUGAUGAUCUCAUAAGUGUAUAUGUAUGUGAUUUCAAAACAUGUAAAAAUGAAUGUCUUUCAUAAUUGUUCCUUGUAUUGUACUUGUAUGUAGAAGUGAAUAAUGUCGUUCCCCGGAAAACCCGAUGUUUCCCAAUUUAAAUAGUAUGAUAGUUUUGUAUUAUUGUAUAAAUCACUUUGCAUCGUCACAGUGUAUGAAUAUGAUUUCCCAUGAGUACUUAAAUGGUAAUGGAUCUCUAUGUGAGUCGUUAUAACCAUACAUAAUAGUGACUAAUUCGUCUGUCUUGGCAUUUUUCCUAACGCCGGGUUUGAUCAAGAUUUUGUCACCCUAGACUGGCCGAGUCUAACUGUAGCGAACAACUUAGGUGUGGAGGAGUCACCCCUGUAUAGAUCUAUAGACAAACUCUCGCUCUCCCUCCAGAAGACUCUGAUUACAGGCUACGACCGACUCUUAUUGGUGCAACCCGUUAUUUCUCACUAAAUCCCAUGAAAUUGAAUAACCUUGUUUUACAAUCCGAAUGAUGUUUACGUGAAUAUGAAGUAAGCCUAACAGUCAUGAAAGAGGACAACGGUGGCCCACUAAUCAUGUAUGUUAUUAUAGGUUGUCGAGUAUGCGACGGACAUGUUAGCUCAUCAUGCAUAUGAUUGAUUUGGACCAUACUAGCAAUGCAACUGGGCCAUUAAGGCCCAAUAACAUGUAAAAGCCAUUGAUGGUCCAUUAGGCAUGUAAUUGGGUCACUGGAAUCCCAAUAAACAUGUAUUAUUUAUGUUGUUUACCCAUUUUGUAUGUUAAUAGUGUCGUAAGAUUUGUUUCACACGAAGCUUUUAAUCGUAAAGUUAUAACAUUCGUCAAUCGUUUUAUAACAAUAUUCUAAAUUUAUAAAAGCAUGCAUUUUUAAAUCCAUAAGAUAUAAAAUUUUAUAUUUUUGGCUCAAUUGUUUUAAUAAGAGCAUAUUUGACCCGAAAAUAUUUGUUUGACCAAUUCAGCUCAAUUUUCACAUAAUAUUACGAUUUCAGCCCUUUUUAACAAAAAUGACAUUUUUAGUCAUUUUUAAUGAAAAAUGACAUUUUAGGUUCUUAAAUUAUUUUUCUUGACAUUUUCGACCCAAAAACUAAUUAAAUAGUAAUUUCAGACCAGAAUAUAAUCACUGGGCAGUUUCAGCCCCUUAUUUGGAAAAUUUUGCAUUUAUGGUCCAAAUUUCCGCAAAUUUCACAAUCUUGGCCCAAAAUCCAAAAACUUUGCAUUUUUAGUCCAAUUUGGCAAUAAAAUCAUUUUCAACCCCCUGAAAUUUAGUUAUUUAUGUUUUAGACUCAUACUUUUAUGAAUUUACAAUUUCAGUCCCUAAAACUCUUCAUUUUCGCAAGUUUGGGCCCAAAGAUCCGUGAGGCCCAAAUAUAAGCCCAUUAAGUAGAAUUUUAUAUUUUUGGUCCUUUGAAAAGUAUUAUUUUCAUAAAAAUCAGCUUUUAAAUAAAUAAAUACUUUAUAACCCUCAUAAAACCAAAAAUUAUCAACUUUCAACCCAAUCUUUAUUAUUUUUGCAAAAAUGACACUUGUAAAGAUCUUUGGCUUUGUUUUUCACUUAUUAAACUUAAGGACUCUUAGAUCUAUGAUGUAUGUUGUUUAUUAUUUUUUGUUUAUGAAUAUUUCACAUUUUAGCUAUAGAUCCCAAAAUAUCUUAAGUAUUAACACAUUAUCACAACAAAAACCAAAGAAAUCAAAUAUAACAUGCAAACACACAUAGAUCAACACAUAACACUUGUAGUCUCCCCCCAAAAACAAGUAAAAACUGAAAACAAUGGGGUAUGAACUCACCUUGCUUAGUUUCUCACGGUUUUGAAGAAGAAAUGGAAGAGGUUGAUGUGAUUUUCGGCCCUAGUAAGCUUCUUGAGAGGACUUUGGUUUAGAUGGAUUCUAAGGAGUAGAUCACGAAUUUUGCAUGAAUUAGGAGGAGAUAUUUUGAUGUAAUAAAGAAACUAAGCCAUGGAUCUAAGUAACAACUUAGCAAGGAUGAUGAUUUUUAUGGAAAAACCUUCUUGAAAUGCCCUAGAUCUCGAAAUUUUUGAGAGGAAAUGAGGGGUUGUUGUUUUGAGUGUUUGAGAGAAAAUUCAAGUGAGGUGUGUGUGUGUUUUUCUUGUCUCUCGGCCGAAGGAAAGAAAAAGGGAAGAGGGAAAGAAAGAAUGGCAUGGAAACAUGAGAUCAUGCAUAGUUACAUGUUGUGUAAUAUGCUUAGAUGACCACUAAACAAUAAUGAGGUGGCUAGCACUCAUUAAUCUUCUUAGUUUCUCCUUUUUUGUAUUGGGCCGAAAUGGGCUAAAGAAAGAGGAAAGGAAUCACUUUGGCCCAUUCUUGGUCUUGCUCGAAAGUGUGAAGUCUCUAUACAAGUUUUCGGCCCAUUGGGCCUUUAGGGUAGUUCAUGGCCCAAUGAAAUCCAAUUAGAGAGGGUUUACGGUCCAAUAAGGAAUUUAAUUCACUUAUGGCCCAAUAAGGCCCAUUAGUGUAAAAUGAUCCAUUUUAGACCCAUAAGGCCCAAAAGGUUAAGUUUCAUGAAAGUGGGUCCAAUUAGGGCCUAUUUAAGGGUUCCAAGCCCAAAGUAGUCAAAUUGGAAGCUUAUUGGUCCAUUAGGCCCAAUAAGGAAAUCCUAGUCCAUAAUGGACUUAGGUCGUGAUUCUUAGGGUUUUCAAACCCUAACUUGACUUUGUAAUGUUUUGCAUGAUGUUUGGGCUUUAUAGUUGGAUUUUUAUGAAAGUUUGUUGUUAUUGAAUAACAUCAUAUGCAUAUCAAGUUAUGGUUACAAUUUGUUGUCAUUGAUAUUGUUUACAAAAGUAUAGAAUUUCCUAGCAAAUUUGCUAGUUGUGACAGAUACGACCCGUAUGGGUCGAUUUGGUCAAGUCUACCGACGCAGGAGAUAAGUUCUAGAUUGAUGUGGGAAUAAGUUUUAAUAUUCCUUUAGGAUUCAAGUUUCCUUUUUUACAGUUUCUUUUUAUUAAUGUAUUAGUUUUGGAUAUUGAUUAGGUUUUUUGUUAUUAAGGAUUUUUUUAGGUUUAGCUGGACAUUAUAAAUAAAGCACCUUAGGAACACAUUUUUCUUUAUGCAUGGAAUAAAAGUCUUUGACUGUUUUUUUCGUAGAAUUCCUUGUUUCUCGAAUCACAGGCGGGUCGACUAAGGUUCUUACCUUUGGGAAGUAUCUUAAUCUUAUUAAAGAUCUAUGUCAGAUGCUGUUAUUUCACCACCUGAAAUAUUAACAAAAAAAAUAAUAAAAAAGUUUCCAAUUACAACUAAAAAGUUUCACUGCCCCUCUCCCAAAACAGAAUCUAGACCUCAGGUAGCAAUGCGAGUGAAAAGAGUGACAACAAUACUAGUAUAACUUACACCGACUCCAAAGGUGAUUUGGAGACACAAAAUAGGUAUUUUAAACUUCUUUCAAUCAUUGAAUUAAAAAGAGUUAGUCACAAGAAUUGUCCUUGUGUUAUACCCAAAGUUGCAUAUUCAAUCCAACUUUUUUUUUUUUUUUUUUUUUUUCUGUUUCAUUUUGGUCCCUAACAUUGGUUUUUGUUUCUGAUUUAUCACUGGUCCUGUAAAAUGACAUGUAACAAUAGUUUAAAAAUAAACAAAUUAUAGAAAAUUUUACAUUUUUGUUCCUCGAGUAUGGCUGCUUUUUGCAAUUUUGGUCCUAAAAUGUUUUCUUUUGCAUUUUUGGUCCUUAUUUGACAUUCGUGUAAUGGUUUUGGUCCCGGUUCCAAAUUAAGUGACAAUUUUUUCUCUAUGGGUGUGAUUUUGCAAUUUCGAUCCCAAAAAUAGCCAUUUUACUAGGAACAAGGGCAAAAAACGUUAUAAAAAUCUUAAAUAAGGACCAAAUUAGCAUGACACCCUUUUGGGACCAAAAUUAAAAACAUCAACUAUACUCAGGGACCAAAAAUGCAAUGUACUUUAAAAAGAAACAUAUGAGGGUAGAAAAUUCAUUUUAUUGUAGAAGUUGAACUAAACCUGAAAUGUUGGGAAUAACAUAGAGACCAUUCUUGUAAUUACUCUAAAAAGAAUAGAAGUUGGUAACAAAUGUCUGCCUUAUGAUGGGUGCAAUCUUUCAUCGCCACCAUUAUGACGUUUUGGACUUUACCAUUGUUCAUGAAACCCCGAGAAAUGACUAUAAUGCCCUUGAUCAUGAGCCACCCAUUCUGAAGGAGACACCAAUCAAGAGCAGUUACCCUGCUACUCUUGAAUCUGUCUCUGAGUCAACCAUAAUCUAAUCAAAGUUUCCCACUCGUUCCUUUUCUUCCCCUUGUUCCACAUCAGCUUCUGAAUGCAUGAACACAACAACACCGCCUAAAUAACAACAAAUCCCUCAAAACAAUUCACAUAUAGAUUCAAGUGUCAAUUCCCAUUUUCAUAAAAGAAGAAAGUCUUCAGCUUUUGCAUCAGUCAAGAUGGCCCACUUUGAUUCCCCUGACCCUAAAACCAAAUUUCCAGUGAAAGAAACCAUGAAUCUUGGUGAUGAAACCAAGAAUGAUCUAAAAAUAUCGUGUUCACUAUGUGAAAAACCCACUGGGUCUUGCGGAAAAUGACUAUUAUGUCCCUUGUUCUUUGAUGUCGUUAUCAAAGGUGCAGUUGUUGUCAAGCUGGAAAGGGAGAGAAAAGGGUCUCACAAGUGUAGUUGUUGUGGUGUCUGACAUUGCAUGUGUUGAUGGGAGAAUUUGGAAAAGAAGUGGUGAUGAAGGAAUUUGGAGCAAAGAAGAUGGUUGUUUAUUUAGUACGGCUUUCUACCCUUUCUGUAGUGAUCAAGUCAAUUGCCUUGGGUUACAUGUUGUGGCAACUGAUUCCUCUAAUGUGCAGCUUUUAAACACGGUAUCAUAUCAAUUCAUACUAUUAUAAUAUCUUGUCGCAUAUCCAACUGAUAAUUAUUGAGGGCAUAUUGGUCAUUUUGUUGAUUUAUGUUUUGGGAGUUGGGAGUUGGGAUGUGAUGAAUAUGAUCACAAAAUAUCUUUGAUCCUUCAGAGAUAUACAACCAACUUAUAUAACUUUUCUAUAUGCAGGUGCUCUUUUAUUCUGAAAGACUAGAAAUCCAACAUAUCGAUACAUCAACAACAAAUAACCUAAUUUUGCAUACGUUUCAAAUCGAAAGUGACUCCCUAAAAACAUUUGCAACUUUUGUCUUAUUAAAUCAGGCACACAGUCCCAGUCCAAUACAUACCAAAUGCAAUACAACCUGUUUUUUCAUAUACCGUCAUGUGUAACAAAGGAUUUUAAUUGAAGGAAGUCUCACCUUCUAGUGUUACAAGUUUGAGUAAAGGCGUCUCACAAAAUCCGUUUGAGAAAUUUGCCUACACAUCUCCACAAACCAACUCGAUGGGCUGGAGAACCACAAUAUCUAAGGUCAAAAAUCUCUAAUAUCUUGUUAUUUAUAGAUUCAUUAAACGUAUUUUAAAUUCUAGUUAAAGUUAAACUAUGUUUGUUGAUCAUGCAUAUGAGAUUACCAAAGAAAGUCCAAGUAUCCACUACUGAAUAUUGAUGCCUAACCUUACAUGUAAAUUCUCAAUCAUUGCUAAAUUGGUUUUAAACCUAUUUGGGAAAUUUAGGAUCUAUGGUUAUUAUAUUAACUUCAUGAUACAUUUGAGGUGUAUGACCAAUAAAAUGUGACUAUUGUAGUUGUAACAUUCUUUAUGACCAGCCAUAGUUUUAAUUUUGUUGUUUAUAAUGUUGUUUUCCUGAUUUUGGACAUGUUAAAUAAUCAACUCUAAUACGUUUUAAUUAAAGAGAUAAUAUUUUGAUGUGGAAAGUUGGAAUGAUCAAAUGAUUAGUAUUUAGUAGGUUAAGUGUUUUUAAUGAUAAAUAAAAUAUUUUUUACUAUAAAAUAGCCAACAAGACCAUAAAAGUAAUAUUUUGCUAAACAUGAAAUUAUAUUUCACUAAUUCAACCAUUUAAACCCUCUUCCAAGAAAACCAAUGAGACCAUUAUGGACUAUGAAAAAGAGAAUACGGAAAUGAUAGAUGUUGAAAUGAUGAAAGAAAUAUCUUACUUAAAUUUGUAUCACUCUUUAUUGUCUAAUCAUUUCAUAUUUUCCUAUUUGUUUUUCAUUUUUCAUUAGGUUUCAUGAUUUUUGUAGAUGGUGGUUUCUGAUAGUGAGGUCACAGAUUAAAUUUAUGUAAAUUUGUGCGUUCAAAUGUUAAAGGUCAUUCGAACGUAUUUGCUAUUGAUAUUUGAUUAUUUUUACUAUUAUUAAUUUGGCUCAAACGGAAAAGGACAACUCUUUGCAGUUAGAUAAAAAAAAAAUUGUGAUCGAAUUUACUUUGACUGCAUUGGUAAAAUAUGAAACAAUUAAAGAAGUUUGCAAUCACGUGGACAUAUUGCAUACUCAAGUGGUACCGGUUAGAGUCAUAUAUUCAAACACUUCAAUCUAAUACCAUGAGGGGAUAAUGACUUGGGAGGGUAAUAAGGUUUCCAGCUUGUCCGUAUUAGGUCACUAAGGUUUUUUUUGUGCGUAUUAGACCAAUAUGGUUGUUAUUACCGUUUAGAAAUAGUCCUUUUACCGGUUUUAAUGGGUAAAAAGGACAAUUUCUAAACGGUAAUAGCAACCAUAUUGGUCUAAUACGCACAAAAAAACCUUAGUGACCUAAUACGGACAAACUGGAAACCUUAUUGCCCUCCUAAGUCAUUAACCCUAAUUAUUUAGAAAACAUGCUUACUAAUCAAUGUGACUGAUUUGUUUGACUGAAAAUUUUGCUUCCAUUUAAACUUAUCUCACAACCCUUCCAGAACUUCUACGUCCAGAAACUCAUAUGAUUGAUGAUCUUCAUUACAUAAAUAUGCAACAUUUUAUCAAUAACUUCUUUUUUGUCAUUUAAAUGUUUACAUGAACACAUCCAUAUGUACAAAAACAAAAUAUCACUUUGAUACCUACCAUCAAUGUCUACAUUUGAUAACGAAUGGAAAUGUAAAACCAACAGGGACUUGCAAAUGAUGCCUAUUAUCAAUUAUUUUAUAAAAAGCAAAACCACAACAUGAACUAAGAAAUUGAAGUUGCAAAAUUAAUCAAAAUCAGCACAUAAACAAACACAUACAGACUAUAUACAACACAUAACGGAAGUUUANCUUAAUGAUAGGAAAAGUAAAAAACUUAAAGGAGACUUUAUAGAAAGAAAGAUCACUCUUACUUGCCACAAAUGGUUGAAGACAUCAACAAGAAGAUCAAUCUGACCAUAGAAUCCACAUGUUGUCUGAUUAUGAAUUCAGUAGAUGAACUACUGAAACGUAAGAAUUGCAAUUCAACUCUAUUAGCAUUUGAAAAGGGAAUUAGGGUUAAAAAAAAAUUGGACCAUUUCUUGAUUUGUGUGUGUCAUCCUUGCGCAGGGGCCAUGCAAAUCUUCCAUGUAUCGUUCCAAUUUUAUUGGAUGUCCCCAAAGGGACGACUAUAGAUGAAGAGCUUCGCCAUAUAGAGGAGUAGCAGGUUAUAUGGGACGACGCGAGUUCUAAACGAAGUAGUUUACUAUUGAUGGUCAUAUAUUCUUAAUGUCUUUAAAAUUAGUGUUAAUGACUUAGGAGGGUAAUAAGGUUUUCAGUUUGUCCGUAUUGGGUUACUAAGGCUUUUUUUUUUGUGCGUAUUAGACCAAUAUGGUUGUUAUUACCGUUUAGAAAUAAUCCUUUUUACCCAUUAAAACCGGUAAAAGGACUAUUUGUAAACGGCAAUAACAACCAUAUUGGUCUAAUACGCACAAAAAAAACCUUAGUGACCUAAUACGGACAAACUGGAAACCUUAUUACCCUCCCAAGUCAUUAUCCCUACCAUGAGUGUCCAAAAUUUUUUCUCAUUAUUUUUUCUCAUUAUUUUAAACCAUUUAAUUUAAUAUGAUAUGGUUUUUUAAAACACAUGUUUUAGUUGUUAAAUUAAAUUAUUACGUAAGCUUUUUCAAAUAUUAGACCAACUAAUAAUCAUCCCACUAAAUACAAUUAUUUUGAAAUUUUUUACAAAUUCUCUUUUUCUUUUUUGCAAAGGGAUGCCCAAAAUUAGGGGUGAUAUAUAUGUGGUGUAAAUGAAAUAUCACAUAUUAGGGAAUAUGAUUUAUCAAGGUAAUUAACUUUUCGGUAUGUUCACAUCUGGGUAACUAUCUUUUUUUUGUACAUAUGUAGGUAACAAACUUUUUGGAAGUGUUCACAUAUGACCAUUAUGACCUGCUAUAGCAGGUUAAAUCCUAGAUGUGAACGCUUUCAACAAGUUUGUUACCUAGAUGUGUACAAAAAAAAUAGUUACCCAAAUAUGAACAAAACGAAAAGUAAAAAUUAAAUUACAUGAAUGGUCCCUGUGGUUUGGGGAAUUUGUGGUUUUGGUCGCUAACUUAUUUUUUUUUAACUGAAAUGGUCCCUACUGUUUAUUUUUGUUGCGCGUUUGGUCCCCAUCUUACCUAAAAAUACUAUUGUGCCCUUAUUAAUUUAUUUUUUUAAUUAAUAUUCUUAUCUAUGUAUUUAUUUUUUACAUAUUCAAAAAAAUUAAUAGACCACACAUAUUUGUAUCUCCUCCCCAUUAUCUAUUUCUUUUCCAUCUUUAGUAACAUCGAUGUCUUCACCGUCCUUUUUUUUUGGUACUUCAACUCUGGCGAACCAACACCAUAACCUACUGUCUCUUCAUCUUUAGUGGGUUGUGGUGCUGAUUCGACGGAGUUGAAGGACCGAAAAAAGAAGUGAUGAUGAAGACGUCGAUAUCACUAAAGAUGAAAAAUAAAUAGAAGUUGAGAAGGAUGAAAGAUGGGAUGGUGAUGAGAUACAGAUAUGUGAGGUCUACUAAUUUUUCUUAAACAUAUAAAGCAUAAGUACAUAAACAAGAAAAUUAAUUAAAAAAAAUACCAAGGCAACAAUAGUCUUUUUAGGUAAGACAGAGACCAAGUUCAUAACAAAAUUAAAUAGUAGGGACCAUCCGAGUUAAAAAAUUAAAUUAAUUAAAAAAUAAAUAGUGGGGAUCAUCCGAGGAGAUACAAAUAUGUGUGGUUUUUUUUUUUUUUUUUAAAUAUGUAAAAAAUAAAUACAUAGAUAAGAAAAUAAAUUAAAAAAAUAAAUUAAUAAGGGCACAAAAGUAUUUUUAGGUAAAACGGUGAUCAAACACGCAACAAAAGUAAACAGUAGGGACCAUUUAAGUUAAAAAAAAAUAAGUUAGCGACCAAAACCACAAAUUCCCCCAAACCACAGGGACCAUUCAUGUAAUUUAAUUUUUACUUUUCGUUUGUUCAUAUUUGGGUAACUAUUUUUUUUUGUACACAUCUAGGUAACAAACUUAUUGAAAACGUUCACAUCUAGGAUUUAACCUGCUAUAACAGGUCAUAAUGGUCAUAUGUGAACACUUCCAAAAAGUUUGUUACCUACAUAUGUACAAAAAAAAGAUAGUUACCCAGAUGUGAACAUACCGAGAAGUUAAUUACCUUGAUAAGUCAUAUUCCCAACAUAUUAAGGUGGGGUAGGGAUCCGACAUUGUAUCGUGCUUCAAUAGAAACCGGUGGGACCUUUGACUGUUAGUGUAUUACUUGUGCUAUACUCUGUAGUAUGUUAGGCAAUGCUCUUAGUACCUAGAUUAUGACUGUUGACUGCAUUAUUUCCAUCCAUCCAAUACCAUGGUAUUUGCAGGUCAACAGCAAUAAUUGAGGCUUGUUCAUACUUCAAUAUAUUGGCCUUCUUCUUCACAAUUCCAACCAGUUGUACACAUACGCACUUUACAAAGCAGCAAAAACAGCAAGCAUUAGCACAGGCGCAUAUAGUAGAAGAGGUAUGUUUUUGUUGAAAGUUUUUCUCUUUGUUUAUGAAUAAUUUUUCUUAGUUGUUUUUUGUUUUCAAUCUAUCGAAUAUCGAUCCUUGACGAAAUUAUCUGAAAAAAAAUGUUUUGCGUUGUUACUUGUGGAUUGUUCGUGUAUGCUCCACAUAUAAAAUCAAGUAAACGUUUAAAUGAAUGACAGUGCCUCCUCAUUUCCCUCUUUUGAUUAUUGAACAAUGUUUUGGGGGAAUGUUUUUUUUAGGACAGAUGCUUCCACGUAGAGAUCAGUUCUAGCCCUAAUAUCACUGUAGGACUCUGUUUACAACUAAUAAACCCCUAAUUAAAAGGCACGGUAUUUUGUUCCUCAUCUCUCACAAUCUAUUCCCACUUUCAAUAAGAUGUUGAAAUUAACAAUCUAUUCCCACUUUCAAUCAUUUCAAAGAAAACCAAGGUUAAGUUGACAAGGGAAGACAAACAGCAAAAUUAACUAUGAAUUUACAUACACAUUAAUUUACCAACUAUCAAUUCUAUUCUAGCCAAACUUAUUAUGUGUCCUGAAUCCUGAAGGAAACUUUUUAUAACACUAAUUAUCUAUGGAUUGUAUAUGAUAAUUGAAAAAAGAUAGCUAAGCAAGUUAAUAAGUAAUAAGUUUUAACAAUUUCAUUGCCUUUUUUAUCUGUUACAGGUCUCUGUAAAAGCUAGAAUAUUGAAAGAUGGAGCUUGUAUCUGCAAUCAUUAGUCCUAUUGUUGAAUCUUUAAUUGCUCCUGUCAAGAAACAACUGGGAUAUCUCUUUUCAUCCACGAAUCAUGUUAGGAACAUGAAUACUAAAAUAAAGCUACUGGAUGAUACAAGCCGUGAUGUCAAAAAACACAUGGAAACAAACAAUAGAAGUAAUCUGGAGAUACCUACUCAUGUAACGGGGUGGUUGGAAGAAGUUGAAAAGACUAAAGAAAAAGCUCAAAGCAUUCCAAGUAUUGGGAGCGGAUGUUGUAACUUGAAAAUGAGGUAUCUAGUUGGAAAGAAGGCAUUCAAGACUACGGAGGAGAUGGAAAGUCUUAUUGAUGAAAAUAGUAAGAUAAUUUGGACAAAUGCUCAAAGACCUCUUGGGAAAGUGAACUCAGAAAUCGCAUCCAGUUCUGCACCUUCGGAUGGUGAUGCCCAAAAUCACUUCAAAUCAAGAGAGAAGUCUUUUAAGAACGCCUUGGAGUCCCUCCAACAAGAUCACAAGAGCAAAGUGAUAGCCCUAUGUGGAAUGGGUGGUGUGGGGAAAACCACCAUGAUGGAGCAACUGAAAAAGGCUGCAGAAGAUAAGAAAAUGUUUGAUUAUGUUGUGAAGGUGGUUAUUGGGCAACAAAUUAACAUGCUUUCUAUUCAGCAAGAUGUGGCAGUGUAUAUGAUGGGCCAGUCCCUCAUUGAACUGAGUAAAGAAGCUAGAGCAGAUCGUCUUCGUAUAACAUUUGGAAACCUUCUAGAAGGUAGAAGAAAGGUUUUACUAAUACUAGAUGAUGUAUGGGAAACGAUUGACCUCAAAGAUAUUGGAUUGAGUCCUUUGCCCAACGGCUUCAAGUUGUUGCUGACAUCACGAAAUGAAAAUAUUUGCAAACAAAUUGCAGUAGAAGCCAAUUCGGAGUCAACACUAGUUCGAGUGGAUGUGAUGGAAGAGCCUGAAGCAUGUAGUUUCUUUUGGCAAAUUAUAGGUGUUUCAAAACAAUAUGAUAAGGAUCUCAAACAAAUAGGAAGUGAGAUCGUGAGAAGAUGUGGUUUUUUGCCCCUUGCCAUUAAACUCAUCGCCAAAACCCUUCAAUUUCAAGAAGUUUUUGUAUGGAGAGAUACUUUUCAACGGUUGAAGAAGAAGAAUCUUGAUGAGAAUGUGCAAGAAGUUAUUAAGAUAAGCUAUGAUUAUAUAAAAACAGAGGAGGAAAAGGUGAUUUUUCUUCUGUGUGGCUUGUUUCCUGAUGACUUUAAUAUCCCAAUUGAGGAACUCACAAGAUAUGCAUGGGGCCUACAGUUAUUAAGUGAAGUAUCCACUUUGGGAGAGGCUAGAGACAGGACAAAAAUGUGUGUGCAGAAUCUUAGAAAUGCAAAUUUGUUGAUGGAUAGCGAUUGCAUUGGGUGUGUCAAAAUGCAUGAUCUUGUGCUUGCUUUUGUCAUAAAUACAGUUUCUAAAGGUCAUCAUCCAUGGAUAAUCAACCAUGGUGAUAUUUCAAAGUGGAGUAGAGCUGAAGUGAGAGAGUCUUGCAAAAGACUUUCUAUUACUUGCACAGGAAUGUCUGAGUUUCCUGGUGACUCUAAGUACCCAAACCUAUCACUUUUGAGACUUAUGGAUGGAGAUAAGUCACUUAAGUUUCCUGAAGGUUUUUAUGAAAAAAUGGAAAAUCUUGAAGUUGUAGCAUAUGAAAAAAUGCAGUAUCCGUUGCUUCCCAGAUCACUUGAAUGCUCCACCAAGCUCCAAACACUCAUUCUCCAUCAAUGCCUAUUGAUGUUUGAUUUCUCUGUUAUUGGUGAACUCAUGAAUCUGGAAGUGCUCAGUUUUGCUCAUUGUGGCAUCAGAAAGUUACCAUCCACAAUUGGAAAUUUGAAGAAGCUAAAGCUAUUGGAUUUGACGGGGUGUGUAAAUCUUCGUAUUGAUGAUGGUGUAUUGUUAAAUUUGGUCAAGCUUGAAGAGCUUUAUAUGAGAGUUGAUGAUAGAAAGGCAAUUAGGUUCACAGACAGCAAUCGUGUUGAAUUAGCAGAGCUUUCAAAUCAUCUUUCUGCAUUAGAAGUUGAGUUCUUUGACAACAAUGGUACGCCCAAGAAUAUGCUGUUUACUGAACUUAAAAGGUUUAGAAUCUCUAUGGGAUGUGGUUUAGGAGACAAUACUCACAAAAAUAUGCACUCAUUUGAAAACACAUUGAGGUUGGUCACUAACAAAGAUGAGCUGUUGGAAUCUACAAUGAAUGAGUUGUUUGAGAAAACCGAGGUGCUUUAUUUGGAGGUGGAUGGUAUGAACGAUCUUGAAGAAGUUUUAAUGGAAUCAGUUCAUCUCCCUCAGCAAGCGUUUAAUAAUCUAAGAGUCCUUGAUGUGUUCAAGUGUGAAAACUUGAGGUACCUCUUCACAGUCCCUAUUGCAAAUGGUUUGGUGAAGCUUGAGCGCCUCACAGUUUCAGAGUGCUCUGUUCUUGAAGUACUUGCACAUGGUGAAAAUGGUGGAGCUGAGAAAAUUAAGUUUCAGGGGCUAAAGUUUCUAGGAUUGGAUAGGCUACCAAAGCUGAUAGGUCUUUGCAACACUGCUAAUGUAAUUGAGCUACCACAGCUGGUGGAGUUGGAACUUGAUGGCCUUCCUAACUUCAAUAGCAUUUAUCCAAAGAAAACAUCUGCAACAUCUUCUAUGUCCAGUAAUGACUCUGCAAUUCAACCAUUAUUUAACAAACAGGUACCUCUAUAUUAGGAUUUAUGUUGACAGUUUCAUAGAUUGACUUAUAAUCAACAAGUCUUAAUUGUUGUGCAGGUGCUGAUUCCUAAGUUGGAGAAAUUGAGGAUUUGGAGGAUGGAUAAGCUGAAAGAGAUAUGGCCUUAUCAAGUUAUAAGUAGCAAAGACGUUGAUGCCUGCGUGUUGAGAAAGAUUGAAGUGAGGGGAUGUGAUAAUCUUGUGAAUCUGUUUCCAACCAAUCCCAUGUCUUUGCUGGGUUGUCUGGAAGUGCUUGAUGUUUCUAAUUGUGGAAACAUUGAAGUGUUAUUUAACAUCGACAUGAGUUGUGUUGGUGAAAUUGAAGAACACAGUAGCAACUUGAGACAAAUUGAAGUAUCUAAUUUGGAGAAGCUAAGAGAGUUGUGGAGGAUGAAAGGUGAAAGUAGCUCUGAUAUCCUCAUCCGUACCUUUCAAGCUGUUGAAAGUAUAGAAAUAGAAGAGUGCAAGAGGUUUGUAAACGUAUUCACACCGACCGUCACCAAUUCUGAUGUGAAAACAGUUAUGAAUGUGAGUAUAGAUGGAAGGAGACCUUCUGAAGAAACCAGGAGCAACAUUGAAUUGGUUCAGAACAGCCAGGAGGUAUGUGAUGUCAUUGAGCUUUCAAUUUCUCUUUUGAUGUUAACAACUUAUGUAUAUGUGUCUCUAUACAUACAUACACGUAUAUAACAUAUCACACUACAACAAAUCAAUCAAUUCUACACAAUUCUUUCGAUGUGUUCUGCUAGAUUCUCACUCUUGAAUUUCAAUCACACAAGGAUGGAAAGGAGAAAUACAAGAAAUUAUAGAUCUCACACUGGAAAUUGAUGAUCUAAUGAUCAAUUUUACAUACAUGUGAUAGAAAUCUGGCGGUUUGAGUUGCCAAGAUCUCCCAAAGCGACUAAUCUCUAAAAUAAUUGAUAAGAUGUCUCUCCUAACUGAUCUCUUACAAUAUAAAGGCAUAACUGAAAUAGUUAAUUUACUUAUUUACCCGUGCUGCCCACAAUUGCUUACUCAUGGUUUAAAUCCUUUCUUGCCUCUUUGUGAAUAAGUAAGAAUUGGUUUAUUUCCCUUCUUGCCCCUCCUUGAAUAUGUGAACAUGAGUUAUAUUUAUUUGUAAUUAUAUUUGUUGUUGAGAUAUGUGCAGAUUAAUGUAAUAUCCAAGGAAGAGAUCAUUUCAGAGGUGGAUGGUAAUAUUCCUGACGUUGAAUCCUCAAUUCAUCCCAAACCUUUUAACGUUAAUCACCUUCAAGUACUUGGCUGUAAGGAUGUUGAAGUGGUGUUUGAGAUAGAGAGUUCCAGUAACAGCAACAGCACCACAGAUUUCACAACAAGUCUGCAUAAAUAUAAUCAUCAACCACCACCACUACUACUUCCCCACCUCAAGUCUUUAUAUUUAAUAAAUAUGGAGAGGAUGAGUGAUGUGUGGAAGUGCAAUUGGAAGAAACUUGUAAUUCAUCAAAACCAAUCACAAUCCUACUCAUUCCACAACCUCACAAUCAUACACAUGGAAAAGUGUCAUACCAUAAAGUACUUAUUUUCACCUGUCAUGGGCAAACUUCUUCCCAACUUAAAGGAUGUCUGGAUACAUGAGUGUGAUGGUAUUGAAGAAGUUGUUUCAAAUAGAGAUAUUAAUGAUGAAAAUGAAGAAAUAAUAUCUUCUACUCACACAAACACCAUCUCCUCCUUCCCUCUUCUUGAUUCUCUCUACCUUUUUAAUCUGCCAAGCCUAAAGAGUAUCGAUGGCGGUACUACAAUCACAACUACUUCCAUCCAUGAUCAGUUCCAGGUAUAUUUGAUUUCUUUUAAGCGAAUCCUUUACAUAUUUCAGUUAUUUGUUUUAUUUAAAUAUAUAUUUAUUUUUAAUAUUCUAUUUUCCAUUAGCUGCUUUAUAUAACUCCCUAAGCUAAUUCUUCUGAAGCUGGAAAGACAAAAAUAAAUAACUACAUGCAUAGUAUUUAAUAGUUUUUUCAUUUGCGUAGGUCAUUAAGUUGAUUUAGGAUAAGACCGGAUUGUCAGGGAGAGAAAAAAAUUGAUUGAUGGAUGUAUAUAAGUCAUAUGAAAAAUAGAAAAAAAAUGAUUUUAUUGAUGCUUUUUUUUGUUCUGUUUUUUUUUUUUUUUUUUUUUUUUUUUGUUUUGUUUUGUUUUGUUUCCUAGCAUGCUAGUUUGGCUUAGUAAAAUUCGGUUUGUUGUUUAAGAGAAAUAUCUUUUUUGCUGACAUUGAACAAAACAAUAUGAAACUUUAUGUAGCUGUAUCUAAUGUGCCAACUGAAAAUAUAUAAAUACAAUAUGUGACAAUAGGCUCCUGUUUACAAUUUCUUUUGUACCAGAAAAGUGUGCUAUUCAAAAUAUUAACUUUAAGACAUUGAACUAUUAUAGAGUCAAAUGUCAAUGUUGUCAAUUUUGGAAAUAUCUCUAGAUCUUAAUUUAUCAAGUAUAAUUAGCCAACUUUUUACUGAAAAGGACUCCC